UUUUCCAUUUAUUCGGUUCGGUUCGGUUUAAAACCGAACCGACCGAAUGCUCACCCCUACCUACCUAUAACUACGUGCUAGCUAAAUUUAUUAUUGAAAAUAGUCAUCAACAAACCUAGAGGCUGAACUACCUUUGCAUUUACACUCAUCCAAACAUAUGUCAAAAAUAUUCAUGCCUAUAAAAACCUACUAAGAGAGAAGCACCACUCCAUUACUUUCCUCUUCUGAUCUUCUUCUACACUUUUCUUUAAUGGCUUCUUCCCAUUUCGUGAUCUUCGUUAUAUUGUUAACAUUGUCGUUUUCAUGCAUUGGUGUUGCGACAGCAGGUCGUCGGCUGCAGCAACUGUUUGCCAACUUCCCUCCAUUGGAUCUUCCUCCAUUGCCUAAAACUCCAAAUGAUUUUCCUGUGCCACCAGUUGUGAAGUUGCCUCCUGGGCUGCUUCCUUCUAGACUUCCCUAUUCUUUUUUUCCCUUUCCACCAGCUGCUCCUUAAUUCAUUUUCCCACAAGGCCAUGAGAUUGGACAAGUGUGUUACCAAUACUAGUGAUCAAAAUAAGUGUCUUCAAUUAAUAAAUGUCCAUGAAUGUGAUGUAUAAUUGUCUAUUCAAUUAAUAAAUGUCCAUGAAUGUGAUGUAUCAUGUGGCCAUUUUAUCUUGGUUUGUAAUUUUUUAGGCCAGGUACAAUGCUUUUUUUUUUUUUUACCUUUAAUUAUAAAUCGCAUUUUAUCAAACUCUAUUGAAUAUAUAAUUUAAUUCUAGAGAGAGAAAAAUGAGGAGUCGAAAUUACAUAAAUCCCCAUAUCUAAGACAGACCAAUGAGGAGCUGACCAAAGAAAAUCUUAAUACAGUGACAAAGUCAUCUCAGCGAGUUAGCCCUUACUCUGAUAAUGCGUCUGCAACUGAGUAUACAUCAUAAAGAGUAUGGCAAAAACAAUUGGAGGCAUAGCAUCCGUACAUUCAAUAAUGAAAUUAGUAGAUGAAGUAUAUUGGUGGAGGGAUGAAUCUGGAUAAGAGACACAUGGAGUUAUUCAUGCAUCAGCCCUUCAACUUAGAGCCUGUUUGGCAUGAGUUUGGACGCCAGAAACAUAGUUUUUAGAAAAAGCUAAAAGAAUACUUUGUAUUCAUGUGGUGAACGAGUGUCAUGUUUAUUGCAGGGAAAAGAAUAAGGAAGCUACUAUUGAGAGCUGAAGUUAACAAGGACUUGCUGCUGUUGGCAGCUGAGUGAUAUUUGCUGCAACAAAUUUUCUUUAUUAAGUAAAUGAAAUUUUUGUAUAAGACAAGAUAUGUAAUCAUACUUAAGUAUGAGUUUGUUGAUUUUGUAAAGGUUUUUCUUUACCUAUAAAAGGAAGAAAUUGUGCUGUAAAAGUAAGGAGAGAAAAGAAAAAGAGAGAAGUGAUUUUCUAUAAAAGUAUUAUGAAAAGAAGAAAAAAAAAAAAAGAAAAAAUUUCUUUAUAUUACUCUAUUUUUCUUUAUUGAAAUUUCAUAUUUAUUUUCUCUUCUUCAUGUCCUCUUUUUUGUUAUGGUAUUUUCAAUAUUUUAUUAUAUAUUUGUUAAAGUUGAAAUUUCAACAUUUGAUUUUUAUUUUUGUUGCUGAACAUUUUAUAUUUUUAUAUAAAAUCGUGAUAUUCUGUUUUUCUUUUUCUGGGUUAUUUUUGUCUGAUUUUAAAUAUUCAUUUUCGUUUUUGAAUAUCUAAUUUCAAUUGUACAUAUCUAUUUUUUUUACACAUCUAUUUUUCAUUAUAAAUCGAACAUGUUAUCAAAACUUCCUUUUGUUUUUCAACAAUAGUAUUAGAGCUUAUUUUUAUUUUCAACCGUGGUAUCAAAUCUUCCUUUUAAUUUCAACAGUGGUAUUAGAGCUUAAAUGAUUUUUAAGGGGUUUUUUUUCAAAGUUUUUACAGCUGUAUUUUGUUGGGAUGAAGUUUAUUUUUUAUCAAGAUAGUUGUUUUUCCUCCAUUUUCAUAUUUGAACAAGCUAUGAGAGCUUGAUUUUCUAUCUCUUUGUUUGGAAGGUUUUCUAGAUUUGUAUGAAAACUGACCAGUCUAUAAACGUAAAAUACUUUGUUGAAGAGACCCGCAUGUCUAUAAACUGAUCUAAAUUUGUAAGAGACCUUCAUGUCUCUAAACUGAUCUAAAUUUGUGAGAGACUCACAGAUCUAAAUUUGUUUCAGACUUUCAUGUCUUUAAUUAAACUAUAUUUCAGACCGACAUGUCUCUAAACUGUAAAAUCUUUAUUGAGACCGACAUGCCUUUAAACUGUAAACAAUUUGUUGAAUGGACUGACAUGUCCAUAAACUGUAACUAUAGAAAUUUUUGUUGAAGGGACCCGAUGCAUAUCCAUAAACCGCUGAAUUUACAAUCUUAUUGUUGAAAGGCUCUUAGUAAUUUCCUUUUAUGAUUUGCUGUUUGAGAAGAAGUAGCGAAAAUCAGCUGAGAUUGUUUUGUUUUUUCUCAGUUUUAUACUGGUUUUAGAUAUCUAGUUUUAAUUCUAAAUAUCUAAUUUCAGUAUUUAGAUAUCUACUCUCUUUACUAAUUUUUUAAGAGUGGUGAAUAUUUAGUUGCAUUUAAGGAGAAGCUCCAAAAUUUACUGCAAAAAUCUCAAGGAGUGUUGGUGUUGAUAUAUUUGCUACAAUAAGUUUUCUUUGUUGAAUGAAGCAAAAAACAUUUUUGUGUGUAAAACAAAAAAAGUGUAAUAUACCUAAGUAUGAGUUUAUUGAGUUUGUAAAUGCUUCUCUUUUGCUUAUAAAAAGGAAGAUAUUAUGCUGUAAAAGUAAGAAGAGAAAAGAAAAGAGAGAGAAGUGAUUUUCUGUAAAAGUAUUCUGGAAAGAUGAAGUUGAACUUGAAGUUCCAGUAUUUGAUCUUUGCUUUUAUUACUAGACAUUUGAUAAUUUUAUAUAGAAUCGUGAUACUAUGUUUUUCUAGAUUAUUUCUGUUUGGUUUUAGAUAUCCAUUUUCUGUUUUUGAAUAUCUAAUUUCAGUUUUAGAUAUCUUUUUUUCAUUUUAAAUUGAAUAUGGUAUAAGAGUUUUCUUUUAUUUUUCAACAAUGGUAUCAGAGCUUAUUUUUAUUUUCAACAGUGAUAUCAGAACUUCCUUUUCAAUUUUAACAGCUACAACUUGUGGCCUCAAAGAUAAAGAGUGUUGAAGGAUUUACUGCAACUUCAAAAGAGCCUUUCUAUUAUAGGUCGACUGCAUUAUGUAGUGGAUGCUAAAGAGGCUAGAGUUGCUAAUCUAAAGCAAAAAGAAAUUAUGUGAUUGUAGAAAGAGCACAUUAUUAGGAUCAUUUGGUCAAUUGCCCUCUCUCCAAGCAUAAAUGCUAUAAAAUAUGAUGGUCAACGUUUAAUUUUUGCUGCCGCCUAUAUAAAUUCAUGAUCACUUUUCUAAAAGUAAAUUUCGAGACAGACUUUUAAAAAAGUGACAAGAAUCGUAGUCUUGUCACAAUGUUCGAUGCAAAAAUUUCACCAUUCAGAGAAUCAAUUUUACAUUUUAAUUAUUUAUUGGAUAUUUUCAUAAUUUUGUAUAUUAUGAUCUUUUUUUUAUUAUAAAUAGUCUUUCUUAAUUAUUUGAAAUCCACCUUUCAAUUUUUGAAUAAUUUCAAUAAGAUUUUUCAGUUUUUAGUCUAUAUUUUCUUUUAUGUCAUCUUAACUAAAAGAUAUAAUUAAAAUACCCGAUGGAGUCUAAUCAGUGGUUUAUCGUCAAGACUCCUAGUGUUAUUCAUAACUUUGAUUAAAAACUCCAAUAAAGAGAAUUGCAACCACUGCUGAACCCAGUUCAAAAAAUUAAACCAAACACACAGAAUUCCCUAGAUGAACCAUUAGCAUCAAUAUCCACCUAAUUAGAAUCUGACAUUCCCCAAGCAGAUCUAAACAGAGAAAAAGAAACUAAAGACACGCUGCCUUUCGCCUCAAGAAUGAAAAUCAUGACAACAUUGCACUUAGUAAUCAAGACACUCAAAAGCGGUUAUUACCAUUACCUCCCAAACCUAUAAUAUUCCAUGACAGAAAGAGGGCAUAGGAACAGAAAAAGAGCUGAGAAAAUAACUCUCCCAAAAAUAAGUGGAUCCAAGCAAGAAGACGCAUCAAUCAAAAGAAGACAGAAUCCUUCAAGGACCACCAAGAUGCCUAAAAAAAGACGAAAUCUGAUGCCUUAACUUCAUAUUGCACCUUCACACAAGUGAAUGUCCUUUGAGAUUUUAUCGGCAAGAUCAGCUACAAUAAGAGAUUCAUUACAGACUUCCCGAAAUUGAUCGUAUGCAAAGCUUCAAAUGUGGGGGAGACAACACAUGAACGCUUUGAGGAUUUUGUAAAAUGGGCUUUAUUGCUUUUGAUUAUAUUACUAUCAGAGGCCACAAAGGAUCCAACAGAAGCACCACGAGCCUUUAAAGCCUUUAAAGCUUUUUUCCUCCCUCCUGAUCCUAAUUAUGGAAACAGAGCACUAAGGUCAAUUAUUGGCCUGAACUUGGAUCUUUUCUUUAGAAUUCUAGUGGCCUUAUAUGAGGUUAAGGGCACAUUGCUAUCUAAACUUGGGCUUGACCCAUCACUAUCCUUAGAACCAUCUGAUUCUUCACGAAUAGAUGAAGACACAAAAUGAGAGGAGGACAGGUCAUUACUCCUUUCCGACUAUUUUGCCGCAUCAAAAGAAGAAUUAAGAGGAGAAGCACAUCCCAAGACCUUUUCAUGCAAACCAACACUCGUGUUUGCCAGCUCAUGAUGAGUAUCAACAUCUGAAAGGUCAUUUUGGAAGCUCUCAUAUGCAGCAACAGAAUCCACAGCAUUCCCAGGUUCAUUCAAAACAUUCACCUGAGAAAUAUCAUCCGAGUUACCAUCGCUACUUGAAGACUGAUCACAAACCGAGUGUGUUUUCUCUUUUGAUGGAUAAGAGGUUGGUAUAGGGCCACUAGAAGACCUAUAAUUUUUUAUAAAAGACAAAACAUCACCAACUUCUUCACCUACAGAGAUGUGAAAAUGAUAUUCACCCAUUUCAACUGCAAAAAUUUUAUUAUUGAAAUACUCAAGAUUAUCAAUAAUGACCAAGAUUCUAGCAACAUCCAUGUUUUGCUUUGAGAUUGUAGAACUAUCAAUAGCAACCAAAAGUUCAAUCUUUUCACUAAACCAUUUAAAGAAAUGCGAUGACCAAGCUUGUAAGGGAACAACAUACAAUCUAAGCCAAGCCAGAUGCUUACUCUGUGCAAAAGAAGAAUUGUAAAGGUGAAUAUUGAUCAACCAACUGCUCAACCAUUCCGCAUCAUUACAAACAAAGCCAUCCAUAAUCUCCGAGCUUUUAUCACCCCCUAAAGGAAUGAUUUUUAUAGUAAAAACACCCUCCUUAGAAAAACGUACAUGUAUACAGUACAAAGAGUUCACAUUGAUGGCAGUUGCAAUAGCAGUCCAGAGAGCCAUUCUUCAUUCACAGAUUUAAUAUCUUCUGGUACCUCAUAAGAGCCAAGAGAUUUGUAUGAAAUACACUGACCAGCCCGGGGCAGAUAUCAACAUCUUAUUUUCUAUGUUAUUUCUCACAAUAGGGGGUGAACGAAAAGGCUCUUCCUGAUAAGAAUUCUUGGCAUUUCUAUCAACAGACUGAGACCAUCUUUUAUCUUGCAGAAUCACAUCCUUAGAGAAAUGUGAUGUAGCAGCUCUGAGCUUAUACAAUCCAAUCCACAAGAAAUUGAGAGUUCUAAUAAAAUUGUGCAUGAUGGCUAUUGAGUCAACACGAACAAAGGCAAAACGUUUGCCUAAUUUGGUUAAUUUUCUUGGAAAAAGAGAUCAACCACCCUUACAAACUUGGAAAUAAUUUUCCUAAGGAAAACUGCAUGACACGUUGCGGGAAAGUUUUCCAAGUAAACGGUAGGUAAACUUCUGGGUCGAAGGGAACAUCGGCUAGAGGAUGGAGCAUCACGGUGGUUAGGGGGCUUUUUGUAAAUUUAAGAGUGGAAGAUUUUUUAUUUAUAAAUUUAGGGUUAGGAUAAAAAUAUUUGCGGAUUUGAGGUUGGGGUGACAGGUGGCAGCCGAAAAGCUUAUUUAGCGCCUGUUUGACAGGCGCCGCCAAAGCCUGGCGCAACUUUAAGUAGCCCCAGACCAUUAUUUUAUUUUUUUAUUUUUUUUAAAUGAUCCGGUGCCACUUAUAAUGGUGUCAGACCAUUAUUUUUUUAAUUUUUUUUUAAAAAAUGGCCUGCGCCACUCAACGAGGCCUUAAUUUUUUUUUUUAAUUUUUUUAAUUAUUAAAAUAUUAUAAUUAUAUUAAUUAAUAUAUUAUUUUUAUAUUAUAUUUUUAUUAUAAUAAUAUUUUAUAAUAUAUUUUAUUAAUUUGAAUAUAUUUUUAUAAUAAUAUUAUAAUUAAAUAAUAUUAAUUAUAAAUUUAUUUAUUUGAUAUUAAAUAUGUNNNNNNNNNNNNNNNNNNNNNNNNNNNNNNNNNNNNNNNNNNNNNNNNNNNNNNNNNNNNNNNNNNNNNNNNNNNNNNNNNNNNNNNNNNNNNNNNNNNNNNNNNNNNNNNNNNNNNNNNNNNNNNNNNNNNNNNNNNNNNNNNNNNNNNNNNNNNNNNNNNNNNNNNNNNNNNNNNNNNNNNNNNNNNNNNNNNNNNNNNNNNNNNNNNNNNNNNNNNNNNNNNNNNNNNNNNNNNNNNNNNNNNNNNNNNNNNNNNNNNNNNNNNNNNNNNNNNNNNNNNNNNNNNNNNNNNNNNNNNNNNNNNNNNNNNNNNNNNNNNNNNNNNNNNNNNNNNNNNNNNNNNNNNNNNNNNNNNNNNNNNNNNNNNNNNNNNNNNNNNNNNNNNNNNNNNNNNNNNNNNNNNNNNNNNNNNNNNNNNNNNNNNNNNNNNNNNNNNNNNNNNNNNNNNNNNNNNNNNNNNNNNNNNNNNNNNNNNNNNNNNNNNNNNNNNNNNNNNNNNNNNNNNNNNNNNNNNNNNNNNNNNNNNNNNNNNNNNNNNNNNNNNNNNNNNNNNNNNNNNNNNNNNNNNNNNNNNNNNNNNNNNNNNNNNNNNNNNNNNNNNNNNNNNNNNNNNNNNNNNNNNNNNNNNNNNNNNNNNNNNNNNNNNNNNNNNNNNNNNNNNNNNNNNNNNNNNNNNNNNNNNNNNNNNNNNNNNNNNNNNNNNNNNNNNNNNNNNNNNNNNNNNNNNNNNNNNNNNNNNNNNNNNNNNNNNNNNNNNNNNNNNNNNNNNNNNNNNNNNNNNNNNNNNNNNNNNNNNNNNNNNNNNNNNNNNNNNNNNNNNNNNNNNNNNNNNNNNNNNNNNNNNNNNNNNNNNNNNNNNNNNNNNNNNNNNNNNNNNNNNNNNNNNNNNNNNNNNNNNNNNNNNNNNNNNNNNNNNNNNNNNGCGCCACUUUGAGUGGCGCCAGGCCAUUUCUUUUUUAAAAAAAUUUAAAAAAAUAAUGGUCUGGCGCCAUUGAGUGGCGCCAAACCAUUUAAAAAAAAUAAAAUAAUAAAAUAAUGGUCUGGCGCCAGGCUUUGGCGCCUGUCAAACAGGCGCCAAAUAAACUUUUCGGCUACCAUCUGUCACCCCAACCCCAAAUCCGUAAAUAUUUUUAUCCUAAUCCUAAAUCCACAAAUAAAAAAUCUUCCACCCCUAAAUUUAUAAAAAGCCCGUGGUUAGGUUGGACUGGAGAGGGUUGAGUAGGAUAUAAAGAGGUGUUAGGUUGAGAGGCCAUACAGUGCACCUAGGAAGAGGCGGUUCGAGUUAAAUCUUAAUAAUUUUUAGACACUUUUAUUUUUAGACGGUAAUAUAUCUAUUAUCUUUAUAAUAUAUUAUAUUUUAAUAUACAUUGAAAAAUUGAAAUCAAACAAGUCCAUCAAUUCGAAGCAAACACCAUAAAUUGCGGAGUCCCAAAACCUCAAUAUUCCUUGUGCAUAAAUAUCCAAUUCCUAAACCAUGACUGACUUCAGUUUCCACUUCUAGUCUCGCUUCCCCUGCUUAAGCCUAAUCUACUGAAAAUUGUUCAAAAAUCCAUUUUGGCUCAUCCACCUCUAGAAAAUGGCUUGCUUUCAUUAUGCAAUGAUAAUAGCUAUUCUCUUUAUUCCUCCAUUUUUAAGCACUAACAAUAAUGUGGCUGCUGCUCGUUUUCGUCCAGACAAGGCCAAGAAAUCAUAACCAUUGUCCAAGUUGCGGGGUCUGCCUCCCUUGCCUAGGCCUAAAUUGCCUCCUGUCACCAAUCCUAGUUUCCAUAUCACCCACAUCGCCACCACCUCAAGAUGUAUCACAACCACCUCCUCCUCCUCCUGGAUUUGCUUUUACACCUAUAAUACCACCAACACUAGCUCCAUCAGAAUUACCACCAUCACUACCUCCAUCAGAAUCACCACCGCCAACUUCCUUAGUCCCCUCAAAACCACAAGCGUUGCUACCGACCUCAAUCAUACCACCUUCUCCUUCUCCUCAAUUUGCAUUUACACCCGUAAUACCACCAACUUCAACUCCAGCAUCACCAACUUCGUUGGUUCCCUCGAAACCACCAGCAUUGCCACUGACCUCAAUAGUAUCACCCCCUUCUCCUCUUGGAUUUGCGUUUACACCUAUAAUACCACUAGAAAUAGCUCCAACACCACCAACUUUCUUAGUUCCCUCCCAACCACCACUAUUGCCACCAACCUCAACAUUCUCACCCCCAGACACUUUCUUAGUGCCUAAAAAACCACCGGAACCAGCUCCGUCAUCUUAGAAACCAGCUCCACCAACUUUCUUGUUUCCCUCGCAACCACCACUAUUGCCUCCAACCUCAACAUUCUCACCCCUAGACCCUUUCUUGGUGCCUACAGAACCACGAGAACCAAUUCCGUCAUCUCAGAAACCAGCUCCACCAACUUUUUUAUUCCCCUUCCAACCACUACUAUUGCCACCAACCUCAAUAUUUCCACCCCGGACACUUUCUUGGUGCCUACAGAACCACCGGAAGCAGCUCCGUCGUCUCAGCAACCAGCUCCAACUUUCUUGUUCCUCUCCCAACCACCAUUGUUGCCACCAACCCCAACACUCCCACCUCGGACACUUUCUUGGUGCCUACAGAAUCACCGGAACCAGCCACCCCACCUGCAGAAAUCUCCAUUGGCUGCUAACCCUACAUCGCAUCCAAGAAUAUCCCACAAAGUAAAAUUUUCUGACAUGAAUCCCGUGAUCUCUAGAACCCAACUGAAAAUACUUGAAUUGCGUCCUUAGCCCGUAAGCACGAGCAUAUAAUAUCUAGUAUUCCGACAUUAUAGGAUGUUCUUAUGGUAUGCUUGUGUAAAGCCUUAAUGUCUCGGCUGUAUCCCAUGGCUUGAGAGGUUAAUGUGCCUCUGCAAGAAUUGUAUCACAAAGGCAUAAUAAAGUUAUCAAAAUUAUUUGUCAUGUCUGUAAAAUCAGUUGAAUGAGAUGUUAAUUAUAUAUAAAUUGAAGGUUUCUGUUUGGGUUUUGUAAGAAAAAAAAAAAUUCAAAGGAACCGUUACCAAAUUAUGUAUGAAUUUAAUUUUUUUUAAAUGAAAAUUUUAAAUUAAAAUUUUUUUUUUUCAUUUAAAAUUAGAGAAUCGAUAAAAAAAAAUAACUUACAUUGAAUUUUUUUUCUUAUUUUCAAACUAAAGACGAUGGAUAAAGACCUAAAGAAAAAGCAAAAGAAAUGUUUUAUUCUAUUCUCAUCAGGUGGAAGUGAAAUCAACAAGUUUCAGGGGAGAGGAACCUUUAAAUGAUCCUUUUCCUCUCCAUGAAAUUGGGAUAUUACAAAGUUCAUACAAACACAAAACCAACAAAGCCACCACUGACAUUCUUCAUUCAGUGAUACAAACCAACAAAAAGAUUUUGCUACUGAAAUUCAAACACAAAAUCAUUCACACAUAAAAACAAGCCAUCCAACAUAAACAAGGGAAGUUCUUUCUCUCUUCUUUUGUAGGUUUCUCUGUUCUUCUCAACUCCACCAUUGAUGCACAGCAAUUCCUUUAUCUCUCAGCCUGCCAUACAAAGCCAAACACUCCCAAUAAGCUCUCUUGCUUCUCUUCUCUUCCCCAUUGUGCCACUGAUUCUCACACUCUAGAAAUAGUUCGUCCACCAAAUCAAUAGUCUUCCUCCUUAUCAUCUCCUCCACCACUUCUGCUUCUGCCUUCAUUACAACAAACUCAUCUUGCUUCACAUUCUUCAUUAACCAAUCUGAAACAUCAAUGCUUGGUGCCACUGUUUUUGACACUCCUUCAAGCACCAUUUCAAUGUUGUAUAUCUCGAAGUUUUGAUUCCUAGUUGGAUAGUUCUCAUGAAACCAUGCCAUUACCCUGUCCUUCUCCUCUUGCAAGCUCACAUCAACAAAAACUCGACGCGGAUAAUCUUCUAAAGAAUCCCCUAACAAAUCAGGAAAAUAGUUGAAUUUCUUCAAGAAUUUCCUAUGCAUUGGGGGCUCAAGCAGAACAUCUUCCAAGCCAUCCAAUGAUGCUUUCUUCGCCUCCAAUGACAACUCACAGAGCUGCCUCCUCGAAUAUGAAGAAUCCACCAGUUCAUUUGCUAAACUAGUCUUUUUCAUUGCCACAAUGGUUGAACUAUAACGCCGAAGAUAAACAAGUCUAUAGUUUGAUUUCUUUUGGAAAGCAUUUGGAAGGUCAGUCAAUUGAGUAACCAGAACACCACCAACUUUCACAAUUUGGUCCAGGAAUUCAAAAUCUUCAAUCCCAAAUCCAAAUACAAAAUCAAAUGAUGCAUCAUGGAACAAUACUUGUUGCCCCAGAUCAGAUGCCAACACCAAUUCAAUUUCAUUGGCAUUCAAGAAUCUUAAAUUAUCAAUUACAGCACCGAUGCCGGCGCUUACAAAGAAAGCUUUAUCGCCCUUCUUGAUAAGGCCCUCAUUGGCCAAAUCUAGCAAUAGCGACUCCAAAUAUUCAACAGCAAUCAAAUCAGAAUCAAAACCUUGCGUGUGCAGAUUAUAAUUAGAAGUUGAAGAAAGUUCCUUUAAAAUGGAACCAAUGCAAGGUAACGUAAGAAGAAAAACAGCUAAAAAAACCGAGCGAGACACAAUACGCAGAAUCUGCGAAUCAGGAAGCUUAAUUACCAAGAGGGUAUCAGAAUUUAAACCAAUGCCACCAUCCAGCGAAUGCUUCAUCUUGUUCUGCUCCUUGGCUCGAUACCCGCUAGCAAAUUCCCUGACUUUUUGCCUUUCCACCUGAACUUCUCAAUACAAAGCUUUUCAAAUCUGCGUAUUUCAACCCGUAAUUGAGUGAAAAGGAACUUGUUGGCCGAUUUGGCAAGUACCCAGAUGCCAAAAGACGAUGAUGAAUCAAGAGAUUUGAAGAAACACAAAUGAAUCCAACACUACGGAAGAAAAAUAUGAUUUAGCGAGUGCAAAACCUGGACGCGGUGUGGUUUCCACCCACGAGAGCCACACGAGUAGUUCUGAUUCUACACCAAAGGAGCAUCAGCUCCUUCAUUCUCUCAAUUUCCAUUGUUUGCAAUCGUGUAUCUACACUCUCUCCCCCUCACUUUCUCAGCAACCCAGAUCAAACCAUUGCAUUACAGGCUUACACCAGGUCUGAUUUCUCAAAACCCAGAAACCGAAAAGCAAGCACCGACAAAAACCAGAGCUUGGUGAGGAGGAGGAGAGAUAAGAGAGAGGAAUAUGAGAGAAGCAGAAGAGAAAAGGCAAGUGUUUUGCAUCUGUGUGGGUGGGGUAAAGAGAAAAUUGUCAUUUAUAUGCGGAGAAAAUAUACAGAAAGAGCAAGAAAUUUGGGGGGUAAAAAUCAAAGAUGAGCUGUUUUGCCCAUUUGCUUUAAUUAGCUUCAGAAUUUCUUCAGAGAAAAAAAAAGCUUCAGAAUUUCUUCAAGGCGUGUCGUGUGAGGACAGCGUCUAUGUCUUAAGAAAUUGCUUUAAUUUGCUUCAAAGUGAAUUUUUUUCCAUAUGUAUAUAUAUAUAAUCAUAUCGUUGGAUUUAUCAUUCAUUUUUAAAAUAUAUAAAUAAAAAUAGUAAUAAUUUUUUUAAGGAAAUAUUUAAUCUUUUUAAUUAAAAAAAAUCUCUUGAAGAUUUAAUGCAUGACUCUUAUGAUUAAAAUUUGUUUGACAACGACUUUUAAAAAUAGUGUGUAGUGUUUUAACAAUAAUCAAAUUAAUCUGAUUUUUUUAAUAUAAAAAUUUAUUAAUUUUUAAUUUUUUUAAGAAAAAUUCAACUGAAAGCAUUUCAAAUAGAAUCAAUGGGUCCAUAUUAAACACUGGGACUAACAGGUAAUGCAGUUGUUUUAGCAAAAUCAGGGAUAAGCAGUUAUUUGGUUUAAAUUAACAAAAUUGAUUGAAUUGAAUUAAUUUAAAAUUUUACUUUAAUUUUUUUAUUCAUUUUAAUUCGUUUUAAUAUUUAAUUUUAGAAAUUUCGGUUAUUUUAAUUCGAUUCGAUUUUGAUCAGAAAAAAAUUAAAAAAAUCAAAUCGGACCGAUUAGUGAUAAUAAUAUAUUUUUUUAAUAAUAUAGAGAAAUUAAAUCAUAUUAAGAUUAAAAUAUUUUAAUUAAAUUUUAAAUACUAAAAUAAAGGUAAAAAAUAAAAAUUUAUUAAAAAUCAAAACCAAUCAAACCGAAUUGAAUCGAACUGAAUCAGAUCGAUUCGGUUCGAUUUGAUUUAUAAUCAAAUCAAUUCGAUUCAAUUUUUAUAAAUAUUAAAAUUUUGAUUUAUUCAGUUCAGUUUUAUUUUGAAUCGAACUGACCGAAUGCUCACUCUAAAUAAAAUUAUAAAAUUUUGUAAUAUGUAUUGAAAAAAUAAAAUUUGUUAUUUUCAAGAAAUAAUAAAUAAACAGUAUAUUAAAAACUAUAAUAUAAAAUUUGUUUUUAUAUAUAAUUAUAUUUUCUUACAUGAAAAUAAUUAUAUGUUUAUCAUGAAAUGGAGAAAUGUGUAGAGUUAUAGUAAUUAUUUUAAAAUAAAAAUAAUAUCUUUAACUAAAAUUAAAAAUAUCAAACUAAGUUCAUUGGUAUGGCUUUUAAAAACUCUCUCAAAACAUACUGAAUUUAAAUUUUCUUAAAUAUCAUUGACAACUUGUAUUAAGCAUAUGAAUUCAUUAAACCAAUCGAUUAAUAGAAAAAAAAAUCAGUUUUAACGGAUUAAUCGUUUUUAUUUUAAAUAGAAAUUAAGGAUAGAAGAAUAGAACUUGAAAUUUUUUAUAUUUAUUCUAAUACACUUAUUAUCAGACUGUGAGGGUAAUGGAUCAAUUAUUUAAUGGCUUGUUUAUUUUAUGAAAAUAAUUUUUCGAUUUUAUUUGAAAUUUAUUUUUUCUGAUUUUUUUUUAUAAAUAAGUGAGAAUGUUUAAAUAAAAAAUAUGAAUGAAUACCGUGAAUUUGUUUGUAAUUGUUUUUUAUUUAAAAAAUUAUUUAAAAAAUUAUUUAAAAAAUUAUAUAAAUUGGCCAAGUUUAUUUGUAAUCCAUUAAAUUGAUAUAACCCGAACUUUCGCUCAUUGUGAGCUAUCACUUUAGAAGAGAGUUAUGUGAUAAAUGAAAAAAAAAUUUAAAUACCGUAAUUCUCAGUGUCAAAACUCACCCUUUUUUCAAUGCGACACACUUCACAAAAAGUUAUUAUUAAAUAAUAUAAUUUAUCAAAUUUUCAUCACAUCUAUAAUUACGGGUCUAUAUCCAUUAGUCAAUACUAUUUAAAUUUUUAAAGUUCCACCUUCUUAUAGUAUAAAAAUUUAUGAAUAAAAAAAUACAUUAUUAUACAACUACUCUUAAAUUUUAAACAAUUUAUUAUACUCAUAUUUUUCUUUAGUUUAUUAACUUAAAUGUCGGAGUGAUUAUUGUAAAUUAUCUUGCGCUAUCUUUUUUACAGAUUAACCAAACACAAUUUCGUUUCAGCUCUAUCAUAAAUUAAAAAUUAAAUUUUACAAUUAAAAACAUAUUUAUCCAUUUAUAAAAAAUUUUUUAAAGCUAAUGGUUUAAAAUGUAAUGUGGAUGCACCCUUAUUUUCCAUGCAUAAUAAAAUUCUAUAUAUAGCAAAUUAGAUGUGAUAAUUUGCAGUGUUGGAUUGAGUCUUUAGAAAUAAAAAAUUUCGUAAAAGUUUAAUUUAAUUGAUUUUUUUAAAUAAUUUUUUAUUUAAGAUAAAAAAAUUCAAUUUUUUUAAUUUAAAAAAUUUUUAUUAUAAAAAAAUUGAAAUUUUUUUUAUAAAAUGAAGAAUGACAAGUAAAGAAUCAAAAUUUUAGAUUAGAUUUCAAACUUUUUUUCUUCUAAUCAAGUUUUCAUCUCAGGUUUUCCAUGUACGAAUUCGCCGUGGAGUUGACACAAGCACUAUGUAAGCACACUCCCAUUGUGAGUGAGCUCUAUAUAUGGCUAUAUCCUAGCUUGUCUAUAUUCCAACAUCUCUAUGGCCAUAUCCUAGCUUCCAUUCCAACUUUGUGUGAACUCUGAGCAGAAUUCGGUUCAAACUGAAAAAAUUGAUCGAACUAAAUUGAUUUAAAAUUUUGGUUCGGUUCGGUUUUUAAUUUCAAAAAUUUCGGUGAUUUCAAUUCGAUUCGAUUUUGAUCAAAAAAAAAUUGAAAAAAUCAAACUGAAUCGAUUAGUAAUAAUAAUAUGUUUUUUCAAUAAUAUAGAGAAAUUAAAUCAUAUUAAAAUUAAAAUAUUUUAAUUAAAUUUUAAAAUACUAAAAAUAAAGUGUAAAAAAUAAAAAAAAUUAUUAAAAUUCGAAAUCGAUCAAACCGAAUCGAAUCGAACCGAAUCAGAUCGGUUCGAUUUGAUUCAGUUUCUGAUCAAAAUCAGUUCGGUUUGAUUUUUAUAAACACUAAAAUUUCAAUUUCGAUUCGAUUUUAAACCGAACCGACCGAAUGCCCACCCUUACCUGAAGUCCUGUGAGCCCUAAAAUAAAUUUUUAAAAAAUAUAUAUAUUAUACACAAUUCUAUAUCCUCAUUUUAAUAUUUUUAUUUUGAAAUUAUUAAAUCGACGCCUAUCUUGAUUGUCUCACAAGUGGACAAAUGAUGCAAGAGGAGACUGCAUAUUAACCGAAAACUGGAAACAACUACAGCUCCAGAAUUUAAAUUAUGGGACCCAGAAAGACGUGUGUUUUUAAAUACAAAAAUUUGAAUUUUACAAAAGAUAAUAAAAAUGUUGAAUUAAGAUUUCCAAAAAUAAAAAUAAAAAUGUUGAAUUAAGCGUCAAGGUCAAAUCGAGACUGCGUAUUGGAUAAAGUCAAACAAAGUUUGUGGCGACCGACACCGUGUGGACAAUUCAACAUCCCCUUACUAUAUAAUCGCCUAAUUCUCUGCUCACUCAUCUUCAUCACCAUUUCUGUUCUCCACCUCUUCACUUAACUCAGCUACUCUCUCGCUGAUCUGAUUUGAUUUCUUCAGUUUUCGAUCCAUAAUUAAUAAUGGGUUUGAAGGGUUUUGUUGAAGGUGGUAUUGCCUCCAUCGUCGCUGGUGCCUCCACCCAUCCUCUUGAUCUCAUCAAGGUUCGCAUGCAACUUCAAGGUGAAUCCCACCUCCCCAAUCCAGCUUCCCUUCAAGCCCUCCGUCCUGCAAUCGCCUUCAACACGGUUGCUGCAGGUGCCGGCAAUAUUUCACUACCUGUAGAAAUUGCUCCUCCACCUGCUCGUGUUGGACCCAUUUCUAUUGGUGUUCGUAUCAUUCAAUCUGAAGGUGCUGCAGCCCUUUUCACUGGUGUAUCUGCCACUAUACUUCGCCAGACCUUGUACUCAACCACCCGUAUGGGUCUUUACGAUGUUCUCAAACACAAGUGGACAGAUCAAGACACCGGAAGCAUGCCUCUUCCACGCAAGAUUCUUGCCGGCCUUAUCUCCGGCGGUAUCGGAGCCGCCGUUGGGAACCCCGCUGACGUGGCUAUGGUCCGAAUGCAGGCUGAUGGACGUCUCCCAAUUGACCAACGUCGCAACUACAAGAGUGUGUUUGAUGCUCUAACUCAAAUGUCAAAGCAAGAAGGAAUUGCUAGCCUCUGGCGUGGCUCAAGUCUUACAGUGAACCGUGCAAUGAUCGUCACUGCAUCACAGCUCGCAACCUAUGAUCAGAUCAAGGAGAUGAUAUUGGAGAAGGGUGUGAUGAGUGAUGGAAUAGGGACCCAUGUGACGGCGAGCUUCGCAGCUGGGUUUGUGGCAUCGGUGGCUUCAAACCCUAUAGAUGUGAUAAAGACUAGGGUUAUGAACAUGAAGGUGGAGACAGGGGGGGAGCCGCCAUACAAGGGUGCAUUAGACUGUGCAAUGAAGACAGUGAAGGCGGAGGGUCCAAUGGCUUUGUAUAAGGGAUUUAUCCCUACAAUCUCAAGGCAAGGACCUUUCACUGUGGUGCUGUUUGUCACGCUAGAGCAGGUCAGGAAGCUGCUCAAAGAUUUCUAAUUCAAGUGAUGGUGAUCGAUGAGGGAAAUCAAAAUGCCAUAUAUAGAUAGAAAUAUGUGAAUUUUUCAGCUUCACUAUCGGGAGAAUUAUUCUUUAAUUCUUUUUGUUAGAAUUUGGAAAGGCCACUAUUAUUCCAUUACUGUAAAGAAGAAUUGAAUUUUUGAUAUAAAUUAAUUAUUACUUGAUCUCACAUUUCCAUUUGUCUAUCUUCAUAUAUAAUUGCAGAAUUCACCGCAAAUGUAAAAAAAUUCAAUUAAUCAAGGUGUUGUUCUCCUAAUGGCAUGGCUCACAGUCACAAAAUUAAAAAGAGAUUAAACCCAUCAAAAUACAUAAUCACAUCAAUAUAGAAUGCUUGUAUGAAUAUUGCUGGAGUUUUGACCUUCUUGAGUUUUGACAUCCUGCAGCUGCAUUAUAAGAGUAACAAUCACUUUUAUUUUUUUUGACAAUAACCUUACCAUAAAUUACAAGUAAAUAUUUUAUACUUCGUCCUUUUCUUUGAUACUGGUUUUUCUACGGCCACCCUUGUCUUUUCAAGAAGGGUUGACUUCUGUCACCUUGUUAUAUGUUUUUAAAUUUUUUUUAUUAUUAUUGUUUUACAUGUUGUGCUUCUUCAGUUUUUUCAUGCCUUAUUGUUGACAGAUUUAAGAGAGGAUUAACUUUUUGGGAAUGGUGAAACUCUUGGAGUCGUAUUCCGAACAUGAAUAAUGCAAUCAGUAACCCUCAAGGCCUUGGGUGCCAUAGAACUCUGGCUACUGCCCUUAGUUGGUUUGAAGCUUCGAUGCUUCUGGCCUUCAAUCAGUCUGUGCUUUAGUUUUAUUGGUUCUGGCUGUUGCCCUCAGUUGAUUUGAAGCUUCGACUUUGGUCUGGCCUUCAAUCAAUCUUUGCUUCAGUUUUAUUAGUUUUCUUGAUAAGACGCUCCAUGGCUCUUUCUACAAGUUGCAUUUGUUGUCGGGUCUCUCAACUUUUUAAGUUUUAAGGAUUUGAUGACCUUUUAGGUUUUAAGAAACCUUAUUUUAUUUUCUAUUAAAAACUACGGUUUUAAAUGAGUUGGAUUAAAAUUUUAAUUUUAAUUUUUUUCUUUAUAUUAUUAUAAAUGAUUAAAACGUAAAUACGAAUAUAAUUCAAUCAUUUGUAGUUAGAGAUUAGAAAAAAAUCUCCUCAGAUUCAAUAUGAAAACAUUUAGAGUACAUGUAUUACGCUCAAUUCAUAGAGAUUUAGAAAGCUGCUCUUAGAAUUUCAAGCUUUUACUUGAGCAGUAUAAAUUGAUAGUUUUUUAGGGACCAUUUUAAAAUUUCUAUCCAUAAAUUUUCUUUAAAAACAAAGUGACGUGCAAAGCGCACUAAUAUAUUUUAAAAUUUAAGCAAUGAUAUCUUUACGGUCAUAGUAAAAUUAUUAUUUUAAUAUUAUUAAGAUAACAGUUUGAUAAUAAUUUAAAAAUAUUUAAAAAAUUUAUUUUUUUAUUAUAUUUAAUAAUAAAUUUUAAUAAAAAAUUAUUUUAUAUUUAAUAAAAUCAUAAUUUUUACUAUAUUUUAUAUUUACAGUAAAAAAAUAUGUUUAAAGCUGAUUUAUAUUUAAUAGUGAUAUAUUUCAAAUUGUUGUUAUUAAUUUAUAAUUAUAUUUAAAAUAUACAAUAUUACUAUUUUAAAUUUAUUUUUAUAGUAGUGGUUUUUUUGCAUACUCCACCUUCCUCUACUAUUUAUAAAAAUUUAUAAAAAAUAAUAUAUAUUUAAAAAAAUAGAGUAAAAAAUUAAUGAAUCACUGUACAUGAUACAUUUAUAGAAAAUAUUUCUCUAAAACUGUUUCAUGUAGACUGAAUAUAAUAAUUACAGUGGAAUUUUUCCGAUAUUAUAAAGUUUUGAUUUCAAAAUCUGUCACAUCAAGUCAACGGUUUAAUUAUUAGUAACGUUGAUAAAAAAAAAAGUAUUAAUAACUGAAUUUUUUUAGAAGUUAUUAAUAACUGAAAAAUACUUAAUCUCAUAAUAUAACAUAUGAUUAAUCACAACUGCCCAUACGAUCAUCAAGGUAAAGGAGGGCAGACGAAAAAUAAAAAAUUAAAAAAGAAGAAUGGGUCAGUCAGUGGAACCCACUAACAUGUGAGUGAGCCAUAUGGUUGUUACACAGUUGGCCAGUUCAACAGUUCAAACUAGGAAGACCAAGAAUGGUCACAGACAACAGCACCAAUAGCGCAGAUAUAUAGAGUCAAAUGCAAUACCGUGUAUAAUUGAUCAGUCGAAUAGCACAAAGAAUUUUCUUCGAAUUUUCUCCAUAUAGAUAACGUGUGGACCAUCCUACACUCCCUCUCGGCCUCUCUAUAUAAACGCCUAAUUCUCUGCUCACUCUUCAUCUUCAUCACCAUUUCUAUUGUCUGCCUCUUCACUUCACUCAGCUUCUCUCUCGCUGAUCAGUUUUGAUUUCUUCAGUUUUCGAUCCAUAAUUAAUAAUGGGUUUGAAGGGUUUUGUUGAAGGUGGUAUUGCCUCCAUCGUCGCUGGUGCCUCCACCCAUCCUCUUGAUCUCAUCAAGGUUCGCAUGCAACUUCAAGGUGAAUCCCACCUCCCCAAUCCAGCCUCCCUUCAAGCCCUCCGUCCUGCCAUCGCCUUCAACACGGUUGCUGCUGGUGCCGGCAAUAUUUCACUACCUGUAGAAAUUGCUCCUCCACCUGCUCGUGUUGGACCCAUUUCUAUCGGUGUUCGUAUCAUUCAAUCUGAAGGUGCUGCAGCCCUUUUCUCUGGUGUAUCUGCCACUAUACUUCGCCAGACCUUGUACUCAACCACCCGUAUGGGUCUUUACGAUGUUCUUAAACACAAGUGGACAGAUCAAGACACCGGAACCAUGCCUCUUCCACGCAAGAUUCUUGCCGGCCUUAUCUCCGGCGGUAUCGGAGCCGACGUUGGGAACCCCGCUGACGUGGCUAUGGUCCGAAUGCAGGCUGAUGGACGUCUCCCAAUUGACCAACGUCGCAACUACAAGAGUGUGUUUGAUGCUCUGACUCAAAUGUCAAAGCAAGAAGGAAUUGCUAGCCUCUGGCGUGGCUCAAGUCUAACAGUGAACCGUGCGAUGAUCGUCACUGCAUCACAGCUCGCAUCCUAUGAUCAGAUCAAGGAGAUGAUAUUGGAGAAGGGUGUGAUGAGUGAUGGAAUAGGGACCCAUGUGACGGCGAGCUUCGCAGCUGGGUUUGUGGCAUCGGUGGCUUCAAACCCUAUAGAUGUGAUAAAGACUAGGGUUAUGAACAUGAAGGUGGAGACAGGGGCGGAGCCGCCAUACAAGGGUGCAUUAGACUGUGCAAUGAAGACAGUGAGGGCGGAGGGUCCAAUGGCUUUGUAUAAGGGAUUUAUCCCUACAAUCUCAAGGCAAGGACCUUUCACUGUGGUGCUGUUUGUCACGCUAGAGCAGGUCAGGAAACUGCUCAAAGAUUUCUAACUCAUGUGAUGAUGAUCGAUGAGGAAAAUCAAACGCCAUUACAUAUAGCUAGAAAGCUGUGAAUUUUUCAGCUUCAUUGCUGAGAAUUAUUCUUUAAUUUUUUUAAUGGGACUCUUUGUAUCUGUCAAAUUGCAGUUAAAUUGGCAAUUCCACAGUUUUAGGAAGAUAGAUUCCUGCAUUUAACAUUUUAUUUAUAAAAAAAAAAUUAAAAAUAAUUUUUUUAAAGUAUAUAAAAAAUAAUUAAUAAUUAUAAAAAAAUUAUAUAAAAUGACAGCUAGACAUUUUUUAAAAUAAUUAAUAAUUAAAAUUAUUUUAUUUUUUUAAAAUUAAAUGUAUAUAAAAACAAAAAAUAUAUAUAUUUUAAAGAAAAAUUUUUUAAUAUUUAAAAUAUUCAUUGACUAAUUUUCUAAAUGCCUCAAAUAUUAAAAAAAUAUGAAAAAUAUUUUUAGUUAAAAUAUAAAAAAUAUUUAACUAAAAAUAUUUUGUAUAAAAAAGUAGAGUCUAAAAUAUAUAAUUUUUUUAUAUUUUUUAACAUAUCUACCUUUUAAAAUUUUCAUAAAUAUGAUAUUUUAAAAUCUCAACGUGGUUUUACUAUCAUUAAAAUUUUAAAUUUUUUUAACUCACAAUUUAAUAAAAUAAUUAAUAAAAAUUUCAAAAAUAUAUAAUUUCAUUAAAAUAAUUUUAUGUAAUUUUUUUAAAUAAUUAUUUGUUUAAACAUUUUUUAUUUAAAAAUAAAAAAAAUUUUAAAAUAAUAAAUUAUUAUUUUUAACAAUAAUUUUAAUUAGUAAUUAUUUUUUUUAUAUACUUUAAAAAAAUUAUUUUUAAUUUUUUUUUAAAAAUAUUUUUUUAUAAAAUUGACAUAUUCAAUAAUUAAAGCGUUAAACAUACCGAUUUCCACCGCUAGAUUAUCAAACUGUGCAGUUCCACAGCAUGAGUGAUGAAUAAAAAUUCAAAAUGCCUUGGAAGAUCAAACGUGAAUUUCAAUUUCUUUUUUUUUUCUUGUGCGUGUUUUGAAAAAAAAAUAGCUCUACCAAAGCAGUAAACUCAGCAAGCACAAAGGUACACAGGCCAAGUCGAAUCAUGAAUCCAGCUGCCCAACGACCGCGGCUAUUCCGGAGUAGCCCACCUCCUCCUCCACGACCUGGAUUCCCCUGCAAGCUGCGACGCUCCAUCUGUGUUGAGUUUUAACCACCUAUCUCGCGGUGGAACCCAUGAAACAGCCACCAAAGUUCGUUGUUUUUGCACCUUAUUCAUUCCUUUCCAGACCUUAUAAUUCAUGCAGUAUUCCCUACGUAAAAUGGCUAUCUUUGAAGUUAACGUUAAUAUUUCUCCCUCAAACACAUAAUUAUUUCUCCACUGCCACAAAAACCAUAACGUAAUACAAAGACACUGUACAGCCUGAUACUCACUCCUUUCUCUACAUAUCAGUUCUUCACAAUGUAACCAGUCCUGAAUUCCCAUGUUAUAAAAUUUGGUUAAAGAGUUGGCCUCCCAUACAUUUCCUAGACUUGUCGAGCAGCCCAACAAUAAAGAUAUGUAGGUAACUUUCAUAUAUUUUUUACUUAUAAUUUAAAUUAAUUUUAUAUUUUUAGUAAAUUUAGUAAAUAAAAAUAAAUAUUUAAUAUUUAAUUAUUUUAUUCAUAAAAAUUAAAAAAUUUAAUUUCAUUGACUCAUUGAAGAUGUGAUAUAGUGAUUCUAUCAUAUGAAAGGUAAAUACGUAGAAAAAUUAUAAAUUUUUGUUUAUAAAUAUAUCAUAUUUUUUGUGCUUAAUUUUAAUUUAUUAUAAUUUUAAAAAGUAAAAAGAUAAAUAUUGAAUUUAAAUGUUUAUUUUAUUUAUUAUCAGCAAAUGAGACUUUCUGUAUAUAUUAAUAUUUACUGGGACGGAAAUAUUAUAAGUACGUUUUCAUGGAUAUGAUUAUGGUGGAAGUUUUUCAAAUGUUGUUCUAAUAAGUAAAAGGAUAAGUUUUAAUCAAACAGUAAAAAAAAUUGCAUAUACUAAUAUUUACUGGAACGAAAAUAUUAUAAGUAAUUCUGAUGGAUAUGAUUAUGAUGGAGGUUUUUCAAAGGUUGUUCCAAUAAGUAAAAGGAUAAAUUUUAAUUAAGCAAUCGAAAAAAUUGCAUAUACUAAUAUUUAUUGGGACGAAAAUAUUAUAAGUAGUUUUCAUGGAUAUGAUUAUGAUGGAGGGUUUUCAAAGGUUUUCCAAUAAGUGAAAGGAUAAGUUUUAAUCAAGCAGUCGAAAAAAUUGCUUGUGCAGUUGAAUUAGUCGAGAAUAAUGAAUAUAUAGAGAUAAUUAAUUUUAAAAAACCUAUAAUUUUGGAUGGAUCAUUAAAAUUUAAGUAUAUGGACACUACAAGAAUUUUAAAAAUUACCAACAGAAAUUUCCAUUGGUAAACAUUGAUAUUCCGUUAGUGAAAAAUUUCACUAACGGAUCUGUGACGGAUUCAUUCCGUUGGGAAAAUUCUCGUUGGUAAAUUAUUCACUAACGGAAUUUGUAUCCGUUAGUGACACUAACGAAUCACCAACGGAAAUGUCCGUUGGUGACACUAACGGAAUGCAAUUCCGUUGGUAAUACUAACGGAUUUUGCAUUAGUAAUCCGUUAGUGAAUAAAAAAUGGCGUUGUUUUCCUUUGCAAUGGACAUGGAUCUGUUAGUGACACCAACGGAAAUUCUAUUGGUAAUCCGUUGGUAAAUCAUAAAAUUGCAAAAUCAUCCAUAUAUUUUCAUACAUUAUGUACUUGUACCCUGUACAUUCAUAUACAUCCAUCAUCAUCCAUCAUCAUCCUGGACAUUAAUAAUACUAUAAACGUAAAAAAUCAAAUUACUCAUUAAAAUAUAUUUAAAACUUAAAAAAUUUGUACUACAAUUAUAAUUUGAAAUAAAAAUUAUCAACUGGUCAUAACAAAAGAUACAUACUAAACUAAACUAGCAAACUCAUCAUCUGUAUCAUCAUCAUCACUAUCUGUAUGAUGAUCACCAAUGACAGGGGCAUCAUCAUGCCGCUGCUGUGGAGACGGAGCUGGAGGUGCCCUAGGAGCAGAUGUCUGAGUGGAUGUCCCAAUACUCUGUUGUGCCAUCAUCCUAUGCAUAAACGUCUGCAACUCGUCCAACACUGUGCUAAUUCAACCAUUCUCUGUCUCUAGCCGAUCAAUUUUAUUCUGCAUCUUGUUCAUUGCUUCAAUUGUAGGAGGAUCCACUGGGGGUGCAGACGUGUAUGAAGCGGAACAAUGAGAUGGCUCAUGAAAAUAUGCUAAAGCCUAGGACCCUAAUCUAUAAACUCGACUCUUUUUCUGCCCGCCAACCGCUUCGUAGUACAGUUGGACCUCAUUUAUGGUCGUCGGCUCAUUGCUUCUCUCCUGUUGCUGUGUUGCUACCUCUUUCAGUUGUACGUAUUUAUCCUGCAUUAUAAAUUUCAAGUAACGUAUUAGUAAAACGAUUUAAGUACAUCAAAAUUGUUAAUAACUACAUUUAAUAUUAACUUACAUAAAUAGCUUUUGACCUAGCAUCAACAAACUCUUCUGUCCCUUUUCUCUUAUGUGUGACCUCGAAAACCUCAUGAGGAUGUGGUUCUCUGCCUAGUCUUUCUCUCUGUUACCAAUUAUAAGAAGUAUAGCAAUUAUCAUCGAAAAAAAAUAUUUAUAAGAAGAUAAAUAUAAAAUAAAAAUAUUUACUAAUACCAUCCUCUGCUAAUGGGUAUACUGUGAAACUGAUCCGCAUGCAUGCCUGGAAAUGCCAGAUCCUGACCCUCCAGCCUCAAUGCGCCUAUUGGUAGAAAACUUGUCACACUUCUCUUUGUAUUCAGAAGUGUUCCAAGUUUUCUGCCACUUCCUCAAAAUAGAAUCUGGUGUAGCCAGAUUCUUCGCCUUCCCUUUCCUGAUUUCCCACAUUAAGCCCCUAUAUCUCUCAGCUGCCUUUUUCUGCCAUGCAAUUUUGACCAAGCUUUCAAUUGCUUGGUCCCAUAUGAAGCAUUUCUGCAAAAAGAUUAAAGUAUAUGAUUAGUUAGUAAUUACACAUUUCAUAUUAUAAAUCAAAAUGCUAAAAGAAUUACGCUUCACCUUGAAUUCCUGCCAAUAAAACUCCUUAGUGUCAUUUGGCACUGUCUUCCAACAGUGUCCUUCCGCGAUCAAUCUUUAUUUUAUUAUCAGAGUAAUCCUGCGACUGCACAUCUCCGACGGAUGUAAACUACAUGAACAACGGUGAGUUAGUAUAGGGUAACAUUGAAAUUAAUCAUAAUUAAAAAAUAAUUAACUAUUACUUGUUAUUAAUGAGUGAAAUGGUCUGUCGGAAUGAAUGUGUGCCGCCUACAGCAGUGGUCGAUCCUGCAGAUGCUGGAGCAGAUGAUAGAGUAGAUGCUGAUGCAGAUCCUGACCAUCUAGCUGAUGCAGUAGCAGAAGGAGAUGCAGGUUGAGGUGAAUGUGAAUGUGAUAUCGCAGGUCGUGGAGCUGGAGUGGGAUGGUGAGGAGCUAGAGUGUGACGGUGAGGAGGUGGAAGGGGACGGGGAGGCAAUGCAUCGGUACAUGGUGGAACUGGUGGACCUAAUAGAUCCCUAUGACAUGGUUGUACACUGGAUGCAAGUGGUACCCAUAUUUGAAGCUCCGUAUCCCCAAGUCCCGUUGAUGCCGUGGUAACUACGGCUAAUGCUCUUGUCCGCCAUCUGCAGUCGCCUCCUCUUGACUUGUACUAGCAGGAAGUCGAACCGGUCCUCUGGGCUUCUUAACCCUUCCACAUCCCCUCAUCUGUGAACAAAUAAAAAAUAGUCAAUGCAAAAAAUAAUAUAAAGUUCAUAAACAUUAAAUUAAAAACGUACAAACAUAGUAAGUUACUCACUGAGAAAUAAUGAAAAUAUACAACUCCAAACUGAUUUAUAAUAUAAAUUAAUUUAGUCCGAUUCAUACGAAUCGAACUCAUUAUCACCAUCUGCAUCUACAUCAGAAUUAGGGUCACUAAGAAACUCAUCUUCAUCUGUCGAAACAUCAUCAUGAAUCUCAGUCAUUCCUCCACUAGGAUCAUUCAGGUAGUGUUGUUGAGUAAUAUCAUCCAGAUUUACUUCAGCGUAAUCAAUCUCAUCUUCUUGAAAAGGUUUAUAUGUCUUUGAAGACGUUUCAGAUACUUCAACAACGGGUCUACCUUUAACUUUCAUCACAGCCCACCAAUCAUUUUUGUCACGACGCUUGCUCGGGUAUGAAGCAUAAACGACCUGUGUUGCCUGAGAGGCUAAUACAAAUGGCUCGUACUUACUGUAUCUACGCUUAUUGUUAACAUCGACUAUUCUAUAAUGUCUAUGCACCUUGGUGCCCGUAUUUAGUAUUGGAUCAAACCAAUCAUAUUUGAAAAGUACAGUCCGCUUAAUUGAUAACACUGGAUACUCCAACCGUAACACCUCAACCAACUGUCCAUAGUAGUCACUUUCUUUAAAACUGUAAUUACUCCCUUUUAUACAUACACCAAAAUUCAUUGACUUACUACUUAAAUUUCCAUUGAUUGUGUUGAAUUUAUAUCCAUUAACACAAUACCCAUCAAAAGUUGUGACACUUCUGAGUGGUCCCUUUGAAAGAUCUUGUAUAAGCUGAUUUUUUACAUUGUUCUGCAAUUCAUGGGCAUACUUGUAAAACCAUUGGCCAAACUCUCUCUCCAGUUUUUCAUCAACAGUUGCAUCUGUGAUAUUUGGUUGUGCCGAUUUUACUUGCUCUACAUAAAUGCUAUACAUACAAAUUAACAAGUAAUGUUUAACAAUAAUGUACAAUAUAAGAGAUAUUACACUAUUAAUAUAACUAACAAUACUUACUCAAUAUAUGUUUUCACCUCUGGACAAUUUAAAAGAAUAUAUGUUUGAGCAGAUUGGCUUUCAUUUUCAGUCAUAUAUCUCGAUUUUCCCUUUCAGAUUGUGCUACCUGUGCAUUUGAAUAUGCUUAAUUUGCUCGGUACAUCAUCAUCGGAAACAAAUUCAUGCAAGUUGCGUGGAACCUUCGAUGUCUGGUCAUUACAUGUGCUUCAAAAUAAUGAGCAGAAAAUGCACCUGCUUCUUCUACCAAGUAAGCAUUGCAUAUUGAACCUUCGACCCUUGCUUUAUUUUUGACAUUGUUCUUUAACUUUCUCAUGUAUCUAGUGUGUGAAAACAGAAAUUAGAAAUGUAUACUAAGUAAAUCAUAAUGCUGAGCAAUAUACGUAAAGAAUUAGUAAGUAUACCUCUCAAAUGGUAUAUCCACUGAUAUUGUACUGGUCCUGCAAUUAAUGCUUCAUAUGCAAGGUGUACUGGUAAAUGUUCCAUUGAAUCAAACAGACUUGGAGGAAAUACUCGUUCAAGCUUACAAAGGAUCACAGGAAUUUGUUCAUUUAACCGUUGCAUGUCCCAAUUAAUAAGUGUAGUUUAAGUAAGUUCUCUGAAGAAAUUGCUAAGCUCUGUUAUUGGUUGCCAAACAUUAUUCGAUAACAAUUCUCUGAAAGCUAUAGGAAGAAUUCGUUGUAUGAAAACAUGACAGUCGUGGCUUUUCAUACUAAAAAGUCUAAGCUUCCGACUAUCAACACACCUCCCUAGAUUGAAAACAUAUCCAUUAGGGAAUUUCAGUGUUUUAAGCCAAUCACACAGUAUCAUCUUUGAUUGCUUGUCCAAACAAUAACUUGCUUUUGGAUAUUUUCCGCUAAUUGGAUCUUUCUUCAAUUCUGGUCUCCUGCAUAUUUCAUUUAAAUCUUCCCUUGAUUUUAUAUUGUCUUUCGUCUUCCUCUCCACAUUCAUCACUGUAUUAAAAAUAUUUUCAAAUACAUUCUUUUCAAUAUGCAUUACAUCAAGAUUGUGGCGAAUCAUAUUUGAUUACCAAUAUGGCAAAUCCCAUAAUAUGCUCCGCUUACGCCAACCAGUUGUCUUUGAAAGCCGACCAUUUAUUUCAUGACUGUCAAUGUCUAUUAUCCGCAUCAACCCAAUUUGCUCAAUUUCUUUUAGCAAGUAUUCCCCAGUUCUAAUUGGCGGCGAUGACUUGGAGACUGUUUGGUUUUUAAUAAAAGAUAUCUUGUUUCGACGGAAAGCAUGGUCGUCAGGCAAAAACUUUCGAUGACUGUCAAACCAUGUUUGUUUACCCCCCCUUUUUAAUGUAAAUGCAUCUGUGUUUUCCAUACAGUAGGGACAUGCAGUGCGUCCUGCUGUGCUCCACCCUGAGAGCAUUGAAUAAGCAGGGAAGUCACUAAUAGUCCAAAGUAAAGCAACAUGCAUAGUAAAAUUGUUCUGCUGGAAAGCAUCAUAAGUAUUCACACUAAUUUUUCAAAGUUCUUUCAAUUCCUUCACUAAUGGUUGCAUGUACACAUCAAGCUUCUCUUUUGGAUUCUUGGGACCAGGUAUGAUAAUUGUCAGGAAUAUGUACUCAUCUUUCAUACACAUACCUGGUGGCAAAUUGUAUGGAGUUAAUAUUACUGGCCAUGAAGAAUACUGUUGCCCAAAUUGACCGAAUGGUUGAAAUCUAUCAGUGCAAAGGCCGAGUCUGACAUUUCGGGCCUCCAUUGCAAAGGUUGGAUGAGUUUGAUUGAAAUGCUUCCAAGCAAGAGCAUUUGAACAAUGAUGCAUCACCCCAUCAUCAUUUGCAUGGUCAUUGUGCCAAGUCAUAUACUUAGCUGUAACACACGAUGUAUAAAGUCUUUGCAAACGUGGUGUAAUGGGAAAGUAAUACAUUUUUUUGUAUGGUAUUAGACUCUUCCCUUUCCCCUUGGUGUGCUUGAGGUGUUUGAACCUUUCAUGGUCACAAAAUUUGCAUCUAGUAAGUUCUUUAUUAUUUUCCUAAUAAAUCAUACAAUCAUUAAAACAACAGUGUAUCUUUUGUACAGGAAGCCCCAAUCCUUGGACUAGUCUCUUUGUUGAGUAAAAGCUGCCCGUCAUGACAUUGUCACUCGGUAACAUCUCCUUCAUAAGUUCACAAAUCUGAUCAAAACACCAUUCUGAGAAAUGAUGUUCUGCCUUCAGAUUUAGUAAACGUGAAACGGCCGAUAACUGAGAGUGAGUUUCACAUUCAGGCCAUAGUUCUUACUUAGAUGCAUUUAACAUUUCAUACAGUUUCUGUGCAGCGGAGUUUGGCAUCUCAUAUGUAUCAUUAUGUAUUAUAUGACAACUUAUUGCAUCCAUGACCAUGUCCUCAAACCGAUUGAAAUUUAGGUGAUUAACACUAUCAGAACCAUAAGACAUGUCUAAUAGUGCAUCACCAGAUCCGUCAUGCACUUCAGUUUCACCGUGCAAAUACCAAGCAAGGUAAUUUUGCACAAAACCAUGCUUCAUUAAAUGAUAUUUAACUGUAUUUUCAUCUUGAAAGCUACAGUUCUGACACUUAAAUCGAUUGCAAGGACAGCGAAUCUGAUCGUCAUUUAAAUAAUAUGGGCAGUUCUUAGCCUUCUCUAUAAAUUCAUUGAUCCCCUCUAAAUAUCUGGGAUUAAGUAAACCAUCUCUGAGACGAGCAUACAUCCAACUUCUUUCAGCAGUCAUAUUAACUACAAUAACGAUGCUGAUAUGAAAACAUAAAACUUAUAAAUCCUAUCUUCGAACAGAGCCUGAAAACCAAUAAUUAAAUUAUGCAUUAUAUCUAAAAUAUGCAGUAAUUAUAUCAAUUUUACUUAAGAGAAUAAUUUAUGCAAAAAAAUAGAAUAAUAAUACAAAAACCUGAAAUACAUGAUAAUUUAAUUACUAAUAUCUUCAUAAUCACGUGUUUAAUUAAUUAUUAGGUCCGCCAAUUUAUUAGAUGCGCCAAAUUAUUUUUGAGAAGUGCACCAAAAUGCACCAGCAGGUGCACUGCAAAAUGCACAUGCUGGUGCACUUGGCGAGUGCAACAGCAGGUGCAAAGGAUAAAUUCAAAAAAAUAUAAAACCUGAAUCAGGUAAAAAAUUUCACAAAAAUCAAGCGGGUGCAGAGGAUAAUUUCACAAAAAAUCAAAAAUUUCAAAAAUAUAAAACAUUUCACAACAAUUUCACAAGAAUGGAGUACAUGCAAGAAAAUAGGGUACCUGUGGACAGUGUCCGUCGAUAAUGGCAAGACCGGAGAGAGAGAGGGCCUCACUCGUGGACCGUGAUGCCGAGAAAGGGCGCACCUGUCGACGGUGGAUGGCGGCAGACCGUGGUUAGCGGCAGCGGUGAAAGACCCAGAGGUUGGACGCAAAUUCGGAUUUCAGAGAUAUUUUGAUUUCCUAAUCACACGAUUUAGGGAUCUCAUUUAGUAUACUGUGUAUUUUGGGUUAAAAUUCACUAACGGAUGAUUAGUCCGUUAGUGAAAAAAACAUUAGAUUAAAAAAUAAUAAAAUCACUUACAGAUUACUAACAGAAAUAAUGUCCGUUAGUAUUUCACUAACGGACUUAUGAUGGAUGGGUACGAGCGUAUUCUUCAAUCCGUUAGUGAAGUCCGUUAGUGAUCAAUUGAAAUCUUGUAGUGGGAGAUAUGGGGUGAAGAUGACGUAUCUCAUAUGUUUAAUUACACAUGUCAAGUUAGUGAUAUGACUGAUAUAAAAAAAUAUGUUAAGAUACUUCGUCGUGUUAAUACGAUAAAUGAGGAUGUUGAUAUUGAUCUCUCUGGAACUGCUCUUGAAUCAAAUAUUGAAUAAUGUGAAGAGCAGAAUUCACUGAAUGAUUAUAAUUUAUCUGAUACUCUUGAAGGGCGAUCGAAUAAUUUAUCUGAUAGAGCAGAGGAUGAUGAUUCAUAGAUAUCUACUGAGGAUGAUGAUGAUGAUGGCGAGGAUAAUGAUUCAUAGAUGUCUACUGAGGAUGAUGAUGAUGGCAAGGAGGAUAGUUUGAGUAGAUAUCAAUACUACAAUACUCAAUUUCUAAUCCUAUUGUGCCUAUUGUUCAUCCUCCCCAUACUCAGAAAUAUAUUUCGAUUUACUACAGUGGAUUCCUAUGAUAAACUAGAAUGUUGUUUCUUUUGGGAUCCAUUUAAAGAGUUUUCAAUUGGGAUGCUAUUUUCUUCAAGAUAUGCAAUGGCUCCGGCUGCAAAAAAAUAUCACCUUAGACGUCAUCAUCAAUUUUGCUACCAUGAAACAAGAGAGAGUACAUAUUCUAUAAAGUAUAAAGACAAAUACAAUGGUUGUGCAUUGAGGCUUCGAGCAUCCAAAAAACAAGAAGAGGAUAUAUAAAAAAUUAUGAGAUAUAAUGGACCACACACAUAUACAAAUCCUCAAUUAUUGAAAAACAAUAGCUAAUUGGAUGAAAAUUUCAUCUAUUCAUUCAUCUUUGCAUUGAUUGAAUAACAGCCUAAUAUAAAAAUUGCAGCCCUACAAGCAGAAGUGUGAGAUAAAUUUGGGUACGAGUUGUCUCAUAAAAAAACAUGGAAAGCAAAGUAUAAGGCAAUUGCAAAGCUUUAUGGGAGUUGAGAUGAAUCACAUAGUUAGUUGCGUAAAUUCAUAACAGCUGUUCAUUAUUUCAAUUGUGAAACAAUAUACAUUAUUAGGAACAACCCACAUUGGAUAGAUGAACAAUUAAAUUUGAUGUGUUGUAUAUUUGACCAAAUGUUUUGGACUUUUAAGCAAUCGAUUAAGGGAUUUAAAUAUUGUCAACCUGCAAUUUCAAUCGAUGAGACAUUACUUUAUGGAAAAUACACCUGGCGUAUAUUGUGUGUAACUGCACUCGAUGGAAAUAAUCAACUUUUUUUUAAAACUUUUGUCAUUGUUAAUAAGAAAGAUGAUGACAAUUAGUCAUGGGUUAUGGACUGCAUAAGGUAUUUGUGACCAAUAGAGAAGACUUAUGUGUAAUUUCAGACCAUCAUGCUGGAAUUAUUAAGACGAUACAGAAAGAUUGGUGGCAACCUCCAGCCGGUCAUCAUCCUUACCAUAUAAGACAUGUAUUGAGCAAUUACAAUAAAACAUUCAAAAAUGCUGCAAUAAAGAAAUCAUUGUGUAGGGCAGAUAGAUGUCAUGUCUUUAAAUACAAUUUUUUUUAUCUAUUUAAUGUCACAUUUUGCUGAUAAUAAUUUUACUUUAAUGAACUUAUAAUUUAUAUCAGCAAAUCAAAAUCAGAAGAGAAAGUUUUAUGAAGCCAUGAACAAUAUUCAGGAGGUGCACCCUGAAUCAUAUGAUUGGACAGUUAAAAUAAAUUUAGCGAAAUGGACGAGAUCACACGAUGGUGGACAAAAAUAUAACAUGAUGACAAUAAACAUUUCUAAAUCCCUAAAUGGCAUGAUGAAAGGAUUUUGAGUGUUGUCUAUAACGACAAUAGUUGAAAAAAUAUUCUUUCAAUAUGUCCAUUAUUUUGAUACAUGACGAACAAUAUUUUUUGAUCAGCAAAGCAAGGAUUUAUUUUCACUCAGACUUGCAGUGAAACUCUUCGUGUUAAUGCAAUUAAAACGAAUGGACAUAGAGUGAGAAGGUUUAAAAGUCAAACAAUGGUUUGUAAAAUAAUUAUUAUUCGGGGUAGGCAAAAACAAGUGGUUAAACUUAUGGAUUAAAUAUGCACAUGUGACAAAUUUCAAGAGACGAGAUACCAUGUUCACAUGCUAUUGCUGCAUGUAUGUCCCAUUCAAUUGACUACAAGCAGUUUGUCUCUGAUUAUUAUAAAUUGGAGUAUAUCAUCCAAUGUUAUGCAUACACAUUCUAUCUUUUUAGACAUCCUAACUAUUGGCCUGCAACAUAUGAACUUCUUCUUGUGCCUGACAUUUCUAGAACAAGGAAGAAGAAACGACCAAAAUCUUCUAGGAUUCAUAAUGAGAUGGAUUGAAAGUCGAGCAAAAUAAAAGAAACGUCUAGAGUCCAUUGUUUAAUAUGUGACAGGGUGGGACAUAAUAAAAAAAUCUGUGUAGGUUGAAAAAUAAAUAGAUAAAUGUUAAUAUUUAUACUUACAGUCACUUAUAUUUUUUAUAAUUAUUAUAAACGUAAUGUAUUUUUUAGUGUUCAUUUAUUUUUAUUGGUAUCUUAUAUUUAUGUUUAAUGGUCGAUCGCUCAUGAUUACAUUUACAGAUUAAUAUGGUCGAUCGCGUUGUUAAAAAGAACAAAUCACACAAGUCAUCCAUAUCAAGAAUAUUUAAGAAUAAUUCAAUUAUAAUAGUCAAAAAGUAUAUAGAUCCUAAUGGCAUAACAUGGUAUGAAAAAAAUAAAUACGUCAGAUUACUCAUGUCUUAAUCGUAGUAAUGCACCACAUAUUUUCAUUGGUUUUCCUUUAAAUUCGUUACAAGAUUUUGGAUAAGUAAUUAUAUCGAGCGUUGAACCUCCAUGGGGAGACUAUGGAAAAUACGUUGUGAGUUAGAAGUAUAUUUUAAUAAAUAUAUUAAAAUAUCUCUAAUGGUUUAAAAAAUUUACUAAUUAAUUUUUUAUUAAUUUUAACAAUUAAAUAUUAUAAAAAGUUUAAAACACUCUCGAUACGGAAAGACUAAUUAUUAACUUUUUUAUAAAAUUAAGAAAUUAAUUAAUAUUUUUUUUUUCAAAUUACAGAAAUUAGAUGAUAAAAUAUUUAAAAAUAAUUAAUUAGUAGAUUUUUUAAAAUGCUAUGAUGGUUUAAUGGAUUUUUUAAAAUUGAGAAGUAAUAGAAUUAAAUAAUAAAUUUUUAUGUAUUUUGCUAUUAUUAAGUAUACAUUUGAUAUGAUAACAAAAAUUAGAGUAGUUGUUAAUGGUAUAUAUUUUUAUGGAGUAAUAAUUAAAUUUAAAAAAAAAAGGUUUAAUAUUAAAAAUGAAUAUAACUGUUAAUCUAUUAAUUUUUUAUGUUUUAUAUAAAAAAAUUAAAAAUAAUUAAAAAUAAUUCAUUUAACUUAAUAAAAUAUCAUUUAGAUGUUAUAUUAUAGAUAAGUAAUGCAAUGAAUAUAUAUUUAUUAUGAAUCAUAUAUUAAUUUAGAGAAAAUUUUAAUAUAAAAUCAAUCAUAAAUAGAUAAAUCCGUAACAAACCGUAUUCUAAGUAGACACCUAUCAUGAUGUUCUUACAAGUGGACAAAUGGUGCGAGAGUAGAGUGCAUGUUAACGGGAAAGUAGCAAUCAAAAGAAAGCACUAGAAUUUAAGUUAUGGAACCCACAAUACGCGUCGUUUUAAAUACAAAUUUUGAAUUUUACAAAAUGGCAAAUAAUGAAAAUGUUGAAUUAAGCGUCAAAGGCCAAACCGAGACUACGUAUUAGAUAAAGUCAAACAAAGUGUGGCGACUGUUGGACAAUUCAACAUUCCUCGCUAUAUAAACGCCUAAUUCUCUACUCAUUCUUCAUCUUCAUCACCAUUUCUAUUCUCUGCCUCUUCACUUCACUCAGCUUCUCUCUCGCUGAUCAGUUUUGUUUUCUCCAGUUUUCCAUCCAUAAUUAAUAAUGGGUUUGAAGGGUUUUGUUGAAGGUGGUAUUGCCUCCAUUGUCGCCGGUGCCUCCACCCACCCUCUUGACCUCAUCAAGGUUCGCAUGCAACUUCAAGGUGAAUCCCACCUCCCCAAUCCAGCUUCCCUUCAAGCCCUCCGUCCUGCCAUCGCCUUCAACACGGUUGCUGCUGGUGCCGGUAAUAUUUCACUACCUGUAGAAAUUGCUCCUCCGCCAGCUCGCGUUGGACCCAUUUCUAUCGGUGUUCGUAUCAUUCAAUCUGAAGGUGCUGCAGCCCUUUUCUCUGGUGUAUCUGCCACUAUACUUCGCCAGACCUUGUACUCAACCACCCGUAUGGGUCUUUACGAUGUUCUCAAACACAAGUGGACAGAUCAAGACACCGGAAGCAUGCCUCUUCCACGCAAGAUUCUUGCCGGCCUUAUCUCCGGCGGUAUCGGAGCCUCCGUUGGGAACCCCGCUGACGUGGCUAUGGUCCGAAUGCAGGCUGAUGGACGUCUCCCAAUUGACCAACGUCGCAACUACAAGAGUGUGUUUGAUGCUCUGACUCAAAUGUCAAAGCAAGAAGGAAUUGCUAGCCUCUGGCGUGGCUCAAGUCUAACAGUGAACCGUGCAAUGAUCGUCACUGCAUCACAGCUCGCAUCCUAUGAUCAGAUCAAGGAGAUGAUAUUGGAGAAGGGAGUGAUGAGCGAUGGAAUUGGGACCCAUGUGACGGCGAGCUUCGCAGCUGGGUUUGUGGCAUCGGUGGCUUCAAACCCUAUAGAUGUGAUAAAGACUAGGGUUAUGAACAUGAAGGUGGAGACAGGGGCGGAGCCGCCAUACAAGGGUGCAUUAGACUGUGCAAUGAAGACAGUGAAGGCGGAGGGUCCAAUGGCUUUGUAUAAGGGAUUUAUCCCUACAAUCUCAAGGCAAGGACCUUUCACUGUGGUGCUGUUUGUCACGCUAGAGCAGGUCAGGAAGCUGCUCAAAGAUUUCUAAUUCAUGUGAUGAUGAUCGAUGAGGAAAAUCAAAUGCCAUUACAUAUAGCUAGAAAGCUGUGAAUUUUUCAGCUUCAUUACUGAGAGAAUUAUAAAUAAUUUAAUUCUUUGGUUAGGAAAGGCCGCUACUAUUCCAUUACUGUAAAGAAGAAUUGAUUUUUUGAUAUAUAAAUUCGUAUUGAUCACAUUUCCAUUUAUCCAUAUUGCUGCAAGUGAAUCAUUUACCUAACGAAUUUAACCAGCUUCGUGACUUCCCAUCCCCCUCUACUAGACCUUUAAAUCACUCAGUUCCUGUGAGAUGGUCUCCUCAUAUUGAUUGGGUUAAGAUGAAUAUUGAUGCGGGGAGGACUGCUACGGGUGGUAUUGAUUUAGGAGUUCUUUGUCGCGAUCAUGCAGGCCAUGCUUUAGCUGCAGCAGGUGAUUUCAGAAGCUCUAGCUAUCUCUUUUGGCCUCCAGCUUGCUGUUGAUAUGCUCUUCAUGCAUCACAGUCAUCAACUAAAAUUAAAUCUUAUUCUCGUUAGAGAUCCAUUAAAGAUAACCAACUUAGUACUACCAACCAAUGAAAAUAAAUUUUUAUACUUUACAUGAGACAAUUAAAAAAAAUAACGGUCAAAUCACUAAAUUAUUUUUAUUCAUGUGUCAUAAUAUAAAUAGUCAGAAGUACUAUCUCAUCGUGAGACGUAGUACUCCUGGUGUAUUGAAGCUUUUAUUCAUAAUUUAAAAAAAAAAAAAAAAAUUGGUGCCAAUGCCCCUCCAGCCCUCUAGCCUUCACCCUAAACUCUUUCUAAAGGUUAUAUAUAUAUAUUUUUUGAUGGAAAAUAUUAGUGGCGUUGUGAUCGAUAUUUAUGAAGUUUUGAUUUCAAAUUCUGUUACACUAAGUCAAUGGUUUAAUUACUAAUAAAAUUUUAUUUUUUUGAGAAAUUAUUAAUAACUUAAAUAGUUAAAUUCAUAAUGUAACAUAAGAUUAAUAACUUAGUCCAUUUCAAAAAAAAUUCUGAUAGCAAAAACUUGCAUGUGAGGGUUACACAUCGUUAUUUUCCAAGUGAAAUAAACCUUCCAACAUAAUAAAUCCGUCCUUUUAUAAAAUUUAAUUUUACUUAUUUACUUCUUUAAAUUCAGUAAACUGGUUCUAAAUAAAAAUUAUCCACCGAAUCAUCGAAGCAAUGGAAUUAAGUGAAAGAAAGAAAAAAAAUUAAGAAUGGGUCAACAGUGUCUUGUCAGUGGAACACAUGAACAUGCGACUGAGUCAUACAAUUGUUACACAGUUGGCCAGUUCUACAGUUCAUUACAGAAACCCAACUAAAUCAUUCAUUGCUCCAACACUACACAGUCAAACUAGGAAGGCCAAGAAUGGUCACAGAAAACAGCACCCUGCAACCUAGCCCAGACAUAAAGAGUCAAAUCUAAUACCGUGUAUAAUUGAUCAGUUCAAAAAAGAAGAUUUUUCUUCAAAUUUUCUCUAUAUAAAUAUAUGCAACUCUUCUCUUCUUUCAAACAUCUUCAAUCCAUUUCCAUUUUUAACUACCUUUCGAGAAAUCGGCCUGCCAAAGUUUUUCUUGCCUUCCUGAACUUCUCUAGAUCGAUCUCACAAUAAAAGAUGGGUUUCAAAGGCUUUUUUGAAGGUGGCAUUGCCUCCAUCGUCGCCGGUGCUUCCACCCACCCUCUCGAUCUAAUCAAGGUUCGCAUGCAACUCCACGGUGAAUCUCACCUUCCAAAUCCGUCCACGUUGCAUGCCUAUCGUCCUGCUUUUGCUGCUAACGUUUUACUACCAACAACCUUAGAAGUUCCCCCUCCACCUCGUGUAGGACCCAUUUCCCUUGGCGUCCGUAUCAUCCAAUCUGAAGGUGUCGCCGCACUUUUCUCUGGCGUUUCCGCCACUGUCCUACGUCAAACCCUAUACUCCACCACCCGUAUGGGACUUUAUGAAGUCCUUAAACAAAAGUGGGCUGAACCUGAAACUGGAAAUCUGCCUCUUUUACGUAAGAUAUUGGCUGGCCUCGUCGCUGGAGGAGUUGGAGCUGCCGUUGGGAACCCAGCUGAUGUAGCUAUGGUUCGAAUGCAAGCAGAUGGACGGCUCCCCGUUGACCUACGUCGGAACUACAAAAGUGUGGUGGAUGCUCUCACACAAAUGUCCAAGCAAGAAGGCAUAGCUAGCCUGUGGCGUGGCUCAAGUCUGACAGUGAACCGUGCAAUGAUUGUCACCGCAUCACAGCUCGCAUCCUAUGAUCAGAUAAAAGAGAUGAUCUUGGAAAAGGGUGUGAUGAGCAAUGGAAUAGGAACCCAUGUGACGGCGAGCUUCGCAGCUGGGUUUGUGGCUGCUGUGGCUUCAAAUCCUAUAGAUGUGAUAAAGACUAGGGUUAUGAACAUGAAGGUGGAGACAGGGGCGGAGCCGCCUUACAAGGGUGCAUUAGAUUGUGCAAUGAAGACUGUGAGGGCGGAAGGAGCUAUGGCAUUGUACAAAGGAUUUAUACCUACAAUCUCAAGGCAAGGACCUUUCACGGUGGUGCUGUUUGUCACUCUUGAGCAGGUCAGAAAGCUUCUUAAGGAUCUAUGAGUUUUUAGGACGAAGGGCAAGAAAUACAAGACUAUAGAACUAAUUGAAUUCACAGGACAAGAAAUGUUUGUCUUGAAUUCAUACCGCAUGAAUUUUCCUUUUUCGAUUAAUGAAUAUAUACAAGAAGUUUAAUCAUUUAUAGGGGUAGAAAUUUAUUUUUAUUUAUUAUUUUUAACAGUGACAUAUCGAAUUGAAUAAUGAAAAUUUUACAAUUUAAUUUUAAUGAUCUCAUCUCGAUUUUAAAAAAUAUAUUAAAACAUCAUUAAUAUUUUAAAAAAUUUAAUAAUUACUCUAUUUAUCUAUUUUAACUAUUAGUAUUAUAAAAAUAUCUAAAAUAUUUUUUAUAUGAAAAGAUUAAUUAAUAAAUAAAUUUUUUAUAAAAUUAAGAGAUUAAUUAAUGAUUUUUUUUAAAUAUAAAAUUAAAUAAUAAAAUAUUUAAUAAUUAAAAUUAAUAAAAAAUCUAAUUAAUAAAAUUUUUAAAAUAUUAAAAAUAUUUUAAUAUAAUUUUUUAAAAUCGAUAAAUUAAUUAAUUUAUUUUUUAAUAACAUAAAAACUAAAUAGUAUAUUUUUAUUUAUUCACUUUCCUUUUAAAUAUCUUUAUGUGUAAAUAUUUAUUUUUACAUAUUAAUAUUUUUAAAUUUAGGUAUUCAUCCAUAUUUCUUAGAGAAAAAAAUAUUAUACUUGUUAAUAAUGAGAAAUUGAUUUACCUAUGUAAUUUUCACGUUUAGGACAUUAAAAAAGAAAAAGUCAAUGAAACCAUUUUUCUAAUUAAAAUGAAAAAAUUUUAAAUUAGAGAAACUGAUUUUCUAAAUAAAUUACUAUUUAGUCUGUAAUAUUAAAAAACUUAUUAAUUAAUUUUUAAUUUUAAAAAAUAUUUUAAAAUAUUUUUAAAUUUUAAAAAGUCUAUUAAUCAAUCUCUCUAUUAAUUUUAGCCGUUAAAUAUUAUAAAAAAUUCUAAAUAUCUUAAAAAUUUGAGUGAUUUACUAAUAAAUUUUUUAAAAUUAAAAAAAUAAAUAAUAAAAUAUUUAAUUACAAAAUGAAUAGAAAAUUGAUUAGUAAAUUUUUUAAAAUAUUAAAAAUAUUUUAAUAUAUUUUUUUAAAAUGAAAGUACUUAUUUUUCAUAUAUCAUAAAAACUAAAUCGUUUUCUCUAAAGUUUUAAGUGAAUAAAAAUAAUCUCUGAGUUUCGUGUAUACUCUCAUUGCUAAUUUAAUUUUGUGACAGAAUUUCUGUUGGUGAAGGCAAUGUUUCGUCACUAAAUUUAGCAACCACCAAAAUCCUUGUACAUCAAUUAAAUUUAUGGUGCUAAACUAAUUCCAUAGCUAAAUAUUUUUUAAUAAGAAAAUUAGAAAAUAGGGAAUUAAAUCGGAGUCUUAAAUGAAUUAUAUGCAACUGCUAAAUUAAAUUAGACUAAAUCUAAAAAUUAAUUUUAUUUUUUUUAAUAAUCCACAGUAUAUCUAAUAUUAUCUAUAGUUAUUUUUUAAAAUUUCUUUAAUUUUUUGCUAUUAAUUUAUUAGAACUACUGCAAAAAAUACAAUAAAUCCAAUCACAAUAUUGGAUAGCCUUAUUAAAGAAUCGAAAUACAUCUUUUUAAAUUUUAAAAAUAUUCCAUAUUCAAAAUUUAAAUUUAAAAUCUUUAAUUAAUAUAUAUAAUUUCACUUACGUGUCAAAUUAUUUUAUACUGUUAAUAAAAUCUUUAAUUAAUAUAUAUAUAUAUAUAAUUUUACUUGCAUGUCAAAUUAUUUUAUACCGUUAAUAAAACAUAAAGAAAUUGGACUCGUAGAUUUAACCUGAUGAUAAGUGUAUCUGAAUAAAUAUGAGAAAUCUCACGUUCUACUUUCCAAUCUCAAUUCCUAUCUCAAAAUAAAUAAAUAAAAUAUAAAGAAAUUAUUGAAAUUAUUGUCCUUUAUUGACAUGAGAAUUCCAAUUGUGAGGCAAUUAGGUAUAGAAUGUGAAGGCAAGGUUGGUAAUUAAUCACUAUGAUUAAUUGCUAAUAUAAUACUAAUUGCUGUUCUUGAUUAGGUUUUUCACUUUUUUUUUUUAACUUUUCAAUUACUUUAUAGUAUAAGUGCUUUUCCACAAAUAUUGAAAUAUAAUUAAUCACUCCUUUGUCUCCUCCACUAACAUCAACAUCAACAUCAUCCCUUAAUUAAUCUCAUCUGCCCUAUUUUCUCCACUAAUAAUUAAUCCCUCCCCUAAUUACAUCACUAAUUAAACUUACAUUUCUUUAACUUUAAUUUUAGGUAUAUUGGAGCUUUCAACAUUUGAUUGAGUUGUACUCAUAAAUUUAGCCUGGUGGUAAGUGCAUUUUAAUAAAUUUGAGAGGUCUUAAGUUCUACUCUCUCAAUUCUCAAUCUCCAUUUAAAAAAAAAAACAUUUGAUUGACUCAUACAUAUUUAUAUCCGGAAAUAGAUUACCAAAUUUUGAAUCUUUAACUUUUUAUACUAAAAAAAGGAACGUUGCUAUCAAAUUAGGAGAUUUUUUUAAAAAAAAAUAUUAUCUUCUUGUCAUAAUUUUUAUUCAUUUUAUUUUUCAACACAUUAAAAAAUAUUUUUCUUAUUAACUUUUAAAUUGUAUUCAUUUUAAAAAUAUUAAAAUUUAUUAAAUAUUAAAAUAUAAAAUUUCUUUAAAAUAAAAUAAAAUUAAAUAGAAUUAUAAUAAUUAAUUUAUAUGUUAUUAUAGUGUAAAAAAAUCAUAAUAAUUUUAAAAUAAUUAAAAAAUAAAAAUUAUAAAACUAAAGAGUUUCAGAUAAAUUGAUUCAAAAAANNNNNNNNNNNNNNNNNNNNNNNNNNNNNNAGAGUUUCAGAUAAAGUUAAUUUUUUUGGGUAGCAAAAAUUUUUGCUCUUACCCUUGACAAAAAAUUUUGCUCUUACCCUUGGCAAAUUUUAAUCUUAGUCCUCCACUUUAAUAAAAAUUUCAUAAAAUAGAAACUUAAUUACUUUCGCAUAAGUUGCGGAGCAACCCUCGUUCAUAUUAAUUUUAAAACUAAAAAAUCUUACUUUUUUUAUUUAUAUUUAUUGAGGUAUAUUAAAAACUUAACCAAUAAAUGACUAUAUAAAAAAAUUAUUUAUAAUUUAAAAUGAAUUUAAAAAAAAAAAGUUUAUCUUUAUUAUACGGAAUACUAGCUUUCUAUUCAUUUAUUUCUUAAAAUGUUUAGUCUAAUGAUAAGUAUAUCUAAAUAAAUUUGAGAGAUCUCACAUUUUACUCUCCCAAUUCUCAAUUCUCAUUUAAAAAAAAAAAUUACUUCAAAAAAUUUAAUCAUACAAAUAUUUUUUAAUGAGAGAAAAAAUUAUGCAAUUCUUUUAAUAAUGAUGAUUUUUUUAAUUUUUAAAAGAUGAAGUUAGUUAUUUUAGAUUUUAAAAAUUUUAUAACAACACUGAAUUCUCUAUAUAUAUUUUAUUAACAAUCUUUGUUUUAAAAUAUUUUAACCAAAUAAUAAAUUUUAGUACUGAAUAAUCAUCGAUUUACGCUUUUUCGACAGUCAAGUAUUAUUAAUUAACUAUACAAAACCAAAUCAUAAAUUGUACAAACAAAUUUGAAAAUCAGUCGCCUACUCCAUUCUAAACGGCCAUUUAAUUUCCUCCCUAGCAUGCGUGUAAGCAAUUCUGCUGGAUAUUCGGGUCGGUUAUCCCUUAUCACACUGGGUCUUGAAACCGAGAUGACUUUGCUAUUAUUGGGCCAUCUGUCUCUGCCAUACAGAUUCGUAUAUACGGGAAUGCCAGUCGUCUGCUCCAUACUAAACAGCUAUUUAAUUCCCUCCCUAACACGCGUGUAAGCAAUUCUGUUGGAUGUUCGGGCCGGUUAUCUCUUAUCACACUGGGCCUUGAAAUCGAGAUGGAUGUGAGAAGACUGAGGCCCACGGGAGGCUCGACCUCGAGGCCGGGUGAUCCAGGCCGGCUCGUUGAAGACGCCUUUUAACCCUUGGGCUAAACUUGCGAUCAUGGACUGGGCCUUGUAUCGAGGUGGUGAAGCCCAGCGGUUAUCACAGACUAUUUUCCAAAAAAAGUCGAUCCAUAGCGUUUUAAUUUAUAAUAAUCGUAGAGUCAUCUAAAAGAGUCACUGUCAAAUUUCAGAAUUGAAUAAUGAUCGAUCCACAUUUUUUCGACAUUCAAGUAUUAUCAUUAAUUAACUAUACAAAACCAAAUCAUAAAUUGUACAAACAAAUUUAAAAACCAGAUUUACAUACUACAAAACCCACAAAAUUGAAAAACAAAAUCAUUCUAAAAUCAAAACUCAAGUAUCCAUUACCAAAGAAGGCAGCGGAACUUGAAAAAAGAAAAACUCUAACUCUUCCCUGUUCUCUCUUCUCUCUUCUCUUUCCCUGCAUUAUAAAAUAAUAGUUUAAUUUUAAUGAAAUUUGAAGAAAAUUUGUAUUGCCUGAAAAAGGGCAGACCUUAAUUAUAAUGUUGUGAAUAAAUUUAAUUGGGAUAUGUGAGUUUUGUUCCCUCCACUCUCAGCAACAAACCUGGAGUUUGAUUAUACAUGUUUCUAUAAUAAUAAAAAUAAUAAUAGGAUGUAUUUAUUGAUUGAAUUUAGAUUACUCCACCCAUUAAAUAAUCUAUUUUUUUUUCCUUUUUAUCACACGGCUGUUUUAUUAUAUUCUAUUAAAGAAUUAAUUAUUACAGACUUAUUAUUAUUAAAUAUGUGAUCUGAUGGUGUCCAUAAUUACGUACGCUUUUUCUUUUUUCUUGCCUAAUCAGUUGAAUAGGGGACCAGGCCGUGCCAGACUCAAUAUGAGUAUUUAGAAAUUAAUUUAUAAUUAAGCAUUAAUGAUUAUGAUAAUUAAACCUUAGAUUAUUGUAAUUAUAGUUGUGAGAUUUUAACCGUGGGUCUUAUGACCAAUCAGCAAUCAACUUUAGGUGGGUUCACGGAAAUAUGUUGCAUAUAAAUUAUAAAUUCAGAUAAAAAAAUACCAUAAAAAUCAGAAUUUUCCUUGUUUAAAAAUAUUAAAUAUUAAUUUUUAGGCUGAAUUUCUAAACUAUUAUUGAAGAGUAAAUAAAAUUAUUAUUUAUUAUAAUUUUAAAGUGUGAGGUAAGUAAGAUUAUAAGAUUUUUUUUAAAAAAAAAUUCUCUUAUUUAUAAUUAUGUAUUUAGUGUUACAUCAUUAAAAUUUAACGAUAUUAAUAAAAAAUUUUCAUUUUAUUAAUAUAAGGAAAUACAUACGAUGUUUUUGGUAAUGAUGAUUUGAGAUCCAGAAAAUAGGAUUUUACAAUGGGUUCUGUAAAACUGGAAAAAAUUUAGACCUAGAGUAGAGUAUUUAUCCUUUUAUAUAUUUUCUUUUAUUUGCUAGUGACGUGUUAAUAGAACGUGCAUCAUUGGUCCACCUGUCCCUGCUACAUUGAUACGAACGUACGAGGGAAUCAGAUCUUUGCCCCAUGCGUAACGGCCCCUUGAUUCUUUCCGGGCGCGCAUGCGGGUGGUCCCCUGUGACGGAUGGGUAGGCAGAAUCAAGGUUGAACCCAGAGAGGAUCUAUUCGUUGGGUCGACAAUACUGAGCCGGCCUGGUUGAAGAGACUAACGGGAGUCCGGUCUCAAGGCUGGCGGGUUGGGCUUAGACUAAAAGAGAGACUUGAGGGCCUCUAAGUACUGGGCUGAUAUCAUGGACUUAGCCCCAGACCGGGAUGGAGAAAUCCAGCGGUCAUUAGGUAAUAAAAUUAAUCCCAAAUUCUAAUUUAAAAAAUACAAAAGGUUUUUUAAUUACUUUUUGUAUUAUUUUUGUCAUAUCCACUUGUAUAAUAUUAAUAGAGUUUGUAAUUCUAUUAAUAAUACAACUUGAAGGACGGAUUUCAUGAAUUUAUAAAAAUGUUUGCAGAUAAUAUAAUUAUUUUUUAAAAUAUGUAGAUAAUAUAAUUAUUAACAAAUUGGUUUUUUUAUCUUAGGUGAUUAAAAAAAAUGUUUUAGUUUAAAUUUCACUAAAAACUUUCUUUCCUCCAUCCAAUGAAUGUUAAUAUUAAAAGAAAAUAUUAAAAAAUAAAAUUCCUUUAUAGAAAAUGAUAUUUUGAUUUAUUUUUAAAAAAAUAUUUGUAGAGGUGAUGGUGCUGUUGAAAGGAGAGAAGAGAGAAAAAGAAAGAAGAGAGCAUGAAGAACAUGGAAAAAAAAGAGCUUUGAACACAAGAGGUUUUGUGCUUUUUUUUUUCUUUUUUUUUUUUAUUUGUAUUACUUCUUUUUCUUUGCCUUUGAAUAAAGAAAGGCGUAGUUAGUUUCUUGAUGCCGCUGUCCUUCUAUGUUCUUCCUGGCAUAGUGGAUAUACCGGUUUUUGCUUGUUUUCUUUUUUUUUUUAUAUGUUUUAUUUUGGAUUUUCACAAGUUUUCAUAGUUGAUUUGUAGGAGAGUGCUUAUGAUGAACCCGUUUCUACAAGGAUUUCGACUCUGGUGUCCGGUAAGAGAAUCUUUACAUACGUGAUAUUGGCACUCCAGAACUGUACCGAUGCAUUUGGUGGUCACCGUUCCCUUAGACCUCUAUUGGCUGAGCUCUGCCGUUUCCCUCUUACCUUAUGUCUGUUCUGUGGUGUUCUACUUGUUUGUAGUCCUAUUUCGACAGUUUUAGUGCUUCUUUCAAUCCUACUAAGUUUAGCUUGAAUUCUCGAUCGGUGCUGGCGGUGUGUGAUUUAUCGAUGGGUGUAGUUGAUGUUUUGUUUUCUGUGUUUGGUUGGUUUGUUGUUUGUCAAUUUGGUUAAUUUACUGGUUUGAUUUUUUAAAGUUAUUUUGUUUUGAUUUUCUUUUUUUUAUUUUUAAAUGCUAAUUUUUUUAAAUUUUUAUUUAUAUUUGUUUGAGUUUUGGCUAUCCCUAUUUUUUUUCUUCUAUGUACAUUGUCUUAGUGAUCUUGUAGAAAUAAUAUAUAUUAUACAUGGAUUAAAAACUAAAUAUAUAGUAAUAUAUUUUGAUAUUUAACUAGCAUAAAAUAAUAUAUUAUAAUAUAUUUGAAAAAUAAAUGAAAAUAUAUAAAUGUCUAAUGAAAUUGAAAUUUAUGAAGUUUUUAAUUAAUUUUUUAAAAUAUAUGAAUUAACUUAAUGAAUAUCAAUAAUGAUAUAUUAUGAUGAUGGUAACGUUUUUAUAACUUACCUGCAUGGUAAUAGCCACACAUGUUGACUAAAAGAACAUGUUUGAAAUAAAGAUGGAGAGUGGAGAAAGAAAAAAACACUAAUAAAAAAUAAAAUAAAAAAAAAUAUUUAUGAAUUUAGUCUAGUUGUAAGUGUAUUUAAAUAAAUUUGACCGAUAUCACGUUAUACUUUUCUAAUUCUGAAUCUCUCUAGAAUGUUUCAUAAAAAUAUAAUUAAAAAUUUGUUUAGUAAUGGUCAUCUAAGAUUAUUUAUACAUAGAUUAAUGGAUGGAGGGGACAUGUAAUUAUGAGGAAAUGGCACAUGUUUGUCUAGGGUUCUUAAUUGCAUGCUCAUGUUAUUAUUGUUAUUUUUUGUUUAAGUUAUUAUUAUUAGUGGUGGUUUCAUGUUUGUGCAAUUAGUUUACACUUUAUAGCCUUGUAGAUAUUAUGAGUUUCAAACAAAUUUGGUAGGGCUAUAUUGGGAUCAAAUAUAAUUUUUUUAUAUUAAAUUUAUUAAAAAUUUAACCAUAUUAUAUUUUAAGAUGUGUUGAUUGCGUUGCAUCAAAAAUAUUAAAUUUUAAAGAGUAAUAAUAAAAAGUUAAGGAUAUAACUAGCCGAAAAAUAAAUAGAUUAAUGAUUGAUAACCGUCGAGUCUCUUACACUUAGUAGUGAGGCCGAGUUCUGAAUAAAAAUACAGACCCAAAAAAACUCAUCAUACUAUUUUCAAGUAGACAGGUCCAACAUUAUAAGUCCUAGUCUAGCGACGUGAAGUAGGCCGGAUCAGACAUGGGCGCAGGUCCAUCAAUAGUUAACCUAGCCCUGUAAUAUGACGUAGAACAGGCAGUCCAGUCACUUUGCAGCUCUACCAGCAUGCGCGUCGAAGGAAUUAAAUGACUGUUUGGCAUAAAGAGAUACUCUGAUUCGUCUAUCCAUAUGGCCUAAGUGACAGAAACAGAUAGUACUGUAAUAGAAAUAUGGUUAUACGUUACGAGCAGAUAAGAAAAAAAGGGAUAAAAUAAAAGAGAGUGAUAUUAUCUGACUAAAUUUACACACACAUUGUAAAAUUUUAUUAUUUAAAUUUUAGAAUAUCAACAAUCAUUAGGAUAGUUUUUUGAGAUUUCGCCGUGGACAAAUUACGUUAAUAAAAAUUGAUUCUCAAAAACCUAAAACGUUUAUCCGUUACCAAGUCUGUGAAACCAACUUUCUCUAAAAAUCAAUUUAUUAUUAUUCCAGUUUUUGAAAAAACAAUAAUAAAAAAAUAAAAGACUAAAUUUCUUUUAAAAUUAUGUAAUAAAAAUUAAAAAUAUUAAGUUUUAUCUUCCGAUUUAUAUUUAGUUGAUUUUGAAAGCUAAAUAAAUUCAAAUAUAAUCAAAUAAAUUGAGUAGAAUACAAUUUAAAUUUUAAAAUCUUAAUAAAUUAUUUUUUAAUGAUAAUUCGAGAGUAAAUUCGACCAUAAUUAUAUAAUUCACAUUAAAUUUGGCCUUUUGCCACAAAACAAUCAUUGGAUGAGGUUCUAAGGUGAUCUGGCCCAAUUCGUGAAUAAUUUAAGCCUGCCUUUGGAAAGUGGUAUCAAAGGCCUACUGGUCCAUCUAUAGAAAUUGCAAAUUUUUCCCCUUUUCAAUAUGAAAUCACGAUUUUUGUCCAAUUGUUUACCUUUUUCCUCUUUUGUUUUUUAAAAUAGGGGUGGGAGUCCAACCUUUGACCUCACAAAACUAUAAGGAUACACUUUCCACCAGACUAAGUUUCGAAGUGCGUUUACCUUUUUCCUCUGUCUCUCUCUUGUUUUUUAAUGUGCAAAUCAGAAAUAUGUAGAAACAAAUCUGAAUUAAAAACAUUCAGAAGAAAGAAAAAAAAAAAGCCAAAAUCAAAGAAUUGACAAUCACGGAAAAUUAAGAAUAUGACAAAAAAUAAUAAAUUUCUAUUUAUUUUAGAAAAAUAUUUUACAGUAAUAACAGUAGAUAACAGAAAUCACCAUUCUCCUAAAAUUUUAAUUUUUAAAUAGGAGGGCAUAUGAUAAAUAUGAAUUUAUUUUUAAUAAAAUGUUAUUUUUAACUUUUUUUAAUUUUUAUUUUUUUAUUGAUAUAACUAAAUGAAAACUUAUUUAGUUUAAAUUUAAUAAUUUACAAUUGUAUUUUUACUAAAAUAUAAUUUUAAUUAAAUUUAGAGUUAAUUUUGUAUAAUUUUAUUAAAUUUAAACUUAUUAAAUAUAUAUUUUAAUUUUUUAAAUAUAAGUAUUAUGUUAAUAAAUAUUUUAAUCCACUAAAUAUAAAUAUUAAUGUUCCUGAAAAUUUUAUUUCCUUCUUUUUCAAAAUAUGCUUGCACUUUAAAGUCGUUAAUGUCACUACAUUUGUUUAUAUAUAAAUUUAUUAAUUAAAUAAAAAAUAAUUUAUUUUAAAAAAUAUUUUCUUAAAAAAAUUUCUGAAUUUUCUCAAAAAAUAUUGUUUAUAUGUUAAUUAAUAUUUACAGAAAAAAAAUUUUUAAAUAAAAAUUGAAGAUAAAAUAUUAAAAAUAAAAUAUAAAAUUUCUCAAAAUUAUUUAAAUAUAUUUAUUAUUAAAUUAAAUCUAUGAAUGUUUUAAAUAAUAACAGAUUUUUUUCCCAUUAAUAAUGAAAGGGAAAGGUCAACUAGACAACCACUAUGCCAUAACAGUCAAAUUAUGAACGUCAAACGAGGGUAAUAUCGUCAAAUAAUAAUAAUAAUAAUAAUUGCUAUUAUUAUUAUUAUUAUUUUCUAUAUAAUCUUUUUUUCUUUUUGAUAAUUUUCUAUAUAAUCUUAGCAUCCCUAAGCUCACUCAGUCUCCAUUUACACACGCAACUUCUUCUGUUAUUACACUUUACUGUUCUCUCUCUCCUGCCUUCUCUCUGCAACCUCUCUGAUUUUAAGAUUUGCCUUGGAUCAACUCUCUGUUGCUUUGGAUCUGAGCAAGCAUAGUGCUUUGAUUUUCCAUCGUAAGUUAUUUAAUUGUAUUGCUGGUUUUUCCGCUUUGUAUCUCUCUAUUCUUUUGCUUUUUCAGUUUGGUUUGCCUUCUUUUUGGUUGCUAUGACAUAAUUGGAGUCGAUUUUGUAAGAUUCUUCUUGUUCAUUUAUCCCCUUUGCUUCUUUGAUCAAAAUUGCAAUUCAAUUUCUGUGAAAUUAGGAGUUUAACGGAAAGGUAUAGAAUUUCCUUGUUUGUUUAUUUAUUUUUUAAUGUUUCUUAUUGAAUUUGGGUUUUAUUUUCUGUGUUACUUGAUGGGUUUUUUUUUUUUUUUUUUUCCCUCGUUAGUUUGAGUUUGGUAAUUGGGUUUUUCAGGAUUUCCAAUAGUGAUUUUGUGGGGAAGUUAAUGGUUGGCAAGUUUGAUGUUUUUAUAAACUGAUGCCACUAUCAGUCUACUUGUUUUCUGAGAAUAUUCAAGAUAAGAAGAAAAAAGGAAUUCUGUUUUUUUUUUUGUCGUUUCACUUUCUGAUGAAGAAAAUGAAACAUAGGUUAGAUAUCAUUUUUAGGAUUUUGAUUACUGGGAAUCCUACAUAUUGAAAAAAGAAAGAAAUCUCUGUUGCCAACCAUGCUAAUUGUUUUGUCUUUCUAAACAGCCAAAAGAUUAUUCGUGGUUUCGUUGAGAAAUUUCCUUUAUAUGGUUCUAUCUGGUUAAAUUCCUUACCAUUUUGCUGAUUUUCACAUUUUUUUUUGCAGGAUAUUUCAUCAUAUACCUAGUUAUCUGUGGACUGUGGAUAAUUGAGUAGUGGAGUGAAGGAAAGCAACAUGCCUUGGUGGAGUCUAUCAGUUGAUGUGUUCCGCAAUGUUGUGCGAUUGAAUUUGUAUUGCAGGGUUAUCCUGUAAAUUAUUACUCCUACCAAACCUCAUUCAAUCUUCAAACUCUUGGCUUGUGAUUCUUCAGCAAACUGUUAAUGGGACCCACUUGCUUUCUUAUCUUUUAUUGUGAUAUUUAUAGUAUUAGCUAAGAUUACUAAAACAACUUCUGGUUAAAUUGAAGCUCCCUCUGUUUCUUUCCUUGUUUGAUCCAAUUCUUAUUUGAGGUUUCUGUUUCUGCGUCAUCCUCAUCUUGUUUCACAGAAAUUCUGUCCAUUUCUCAUCUGCAUAUCAAGCUUGCCAUACUCUUACUUUAUAUUUUUAGUUCAUUGUCUUGUUAUCUGGAUAUAUUGAGUUUUGAGUGGUCAAAAGAAGUUAUGGUGUGCCAAGCAGCAAGCCAGACAAGAUUUCGGGCAUUAAAGUAUGAGAAUGGAAUUGCUGGAAAGCCGAUAAUAAUAGUUAGAGUCAUUGCAUGCUAUCAACCAUUGCAGGAUUGCCAGGUUAGUAUUACCUCCUAUUUAUUAUUGCUUAAUCACUUAAUUGUUCGAGUGAUGCAAUCAACUAGCUUUUCUUUAUUCAAGAUAUACUAAGUGGCUUUCCUGUUGUUAAAUUCUUACAUAUUUUUUGGCUUUACCAGUCAAUUUUUGUGCUUAAUAAUGAUUGAAACCCAUUGAAUCACUCUUUCCAUGUUUUUGUUACUUUUCCCAGGCUGAGUACUUCCGCCACUUGCUUAAGCCCGUCACGUAGAUUGAUUACACAGUUGUGUUAUACUGUCAAGCUCAAAAUUUAUUGUUUCUAUUUUUUUUUCCUUGAAUUGUUCCUGAACGAAGAAGAAAGCUAAUUCAAUAUUGCAUAUUGAAGCUCAAACAUUGGUAUGUUUGGACCUUUUUUUUUUCAUCGUUUCUGAAGUUAAAAUGAUCAAGAACUCAUUAUGUAUCUUGUCUUUUAUUUUAUUUAUCAUAUACAGGUAAUUCUUUUGGUUGGAUGGUUAAAGCCAACAGUUCUUGGCUGUUCCCGCCUCAUUGUACUGGGCAAUCACAAAAUUUGAAUUGCAUGAGCACAUCAGUAGAGGCAGUGCAACCAGGAUAUUUGCCAGCAUGUGCGAACUCUGGCUUAUACACAUUGUCUGCAAAUGUGAUGAUGCCAGGGGUUGAAGACCCAUCCCUUCCAAGUUUGAACUCACAACAAAGUAAUGGAUAUGGGGAGUUACCUCAUAGUUUGCCCCCUUUCUUCCAGAACUCGUUUCCUGCCAUUUGCCCGUGUCCCAAAGAAAACUUUCCUGUGUUUCCUAAUGGGUUUUGCGGGGAGGCUUCACCAAAUGCAAUCCCUGGAUGUCAGCAGAAAUUUGCUAUUUUUGACCAGUCUGGGAAUGAAACGAGGUUAAUAUAUAGUGCUUUUUUAACUGCUGAUGUGAAACCAACUGUAGCUGCUAUAAAACCAGUUGGUGGUUCUUGUUUGCGUAAUGGAGAAAAUGCAGCUAAAAUGGACCAAAUCAAUCAAACAGUGCUGAAGUUGCCGGAAGUAUCAGAUGAGAAUAACUUAAGUGGUGAAGAAAGUGAGAUGCAUGAAGACACUGAAGAAAUCAAUGCCUUACUUUACUCCGAUGAUGAAGAUGAUGAGUAUACUGGUGGUGAUGAAGAUGAUGAGUAUGUUGGUGGUGGUGGUGGUGAUGAUGAUGAUUAUGAUGAUGAAGUAACAAGCACCGGUCACUCUCCUUUUCUGAUUAGUAGUAGUGGGAUGCGAGGACAUGUAGAGGAUAUAACAGAAGAAGUAGCUGGUUCUGAUGGUCAGAACAAAAGGCAGAAAUUGCUUGAUGGUGGGUGCAAAAGAAAAUCACUAGCAGACACUGCUAGUUUGACAGAACUCGCCGGAGUUCGGGGGUAUGUUUUUGAUAAUGAAGAAUCAAGCUAUGCUUUUGGCCAAAAUCAAGUAGAGGAAAGGCUUGUCGUUUGGGGGAACAAGCAAUUGAAAAAAGAUAAGAUUCGUGCAACAUUGAAAAUUCUGGAAAGCAUAAUUCCAGGGGCAAAGGACAAGGAUCCAUUAUUGGUUCUUGAUGUGGCUAUAGAUUACUUGAAGUCUUUGAAGUUUAAAGCCAAAACUCUAGGAGUGAACUACUUUUAAGUUUCACUCCUUCCUGCUUCCGUAUUAGUAUGUUGGCUAGUGGGUGGAAGGAAGAAUGAAGAAAAGUAGCAAUCCAAGAGUUCUUGGCUUGAAUGAUUGAUGAGUUUGAAAUCACUAUAAUAGCUUUUCUGAUGUGGUGUAAGCUUUUGGCUUUUUACCUCAAGUCCUGUAUAUAAUGUGCCAAUAAAAGGAGUAGUGGGAAGAUACAUAGCAAUUUGCUUGCAAGGGCUGAAGGAAAAAUGGGGUUUGGUUUGUUGACCACAGAAGAUAUCUUUUAGCUUUAUUGAAGAUUAAAGGUUAACAAAAGUCUAAAGAUUUGAAUGCAUGGGAUGAUGUUAGUGGUGGGUUGUUCAGCAAAUAAGAAGAAUUUCUUUGCCUAAGCGUUGAGAACCCCUAUGGUUUUAGUGCAUGCGCGUUAGGUAAUUUGGGUCCCACCCUCCACCCUUUCUUUGCUUUGAUUUUAUGCAGUUGUCUUCCUCUCUUUACCCUCCCACAUAAAUCAUAUUGGUGUUAAACUCUAUUGAAGUACCAAGAAAGUUUCAGUCAUAUGGGAAUACUGUAGAGGAGCACGGUAUCUCGUCGUGAAUUGUUGGGGUCCACUCCUUUUCAUCAAGUAAUCUCUUUACUUGCAUGUUUUCGCACGUGAUUGUUGGUGGUAGCUAUGGUACUUCUACAGUAUGCUGUGACAUGAGACCAUGGUCAUUCAAUAAAGUCCUUGGAACCCAGUAUGGUGUCUGUCAGUUUUCUGUGUUCAUUACUAGUAGUGAGUGUGAAUUUGGUGUUUAGUAGAAGAGUGGGAGUGAUUGAAUUGAAUGUAUCUUUUUAUUUUGGCCCUUUUUUUUCUUUCUAUUUUGUUCUUCCUUCUGUCCUGUGGAUGCAUGUGUCUGUAUUGGAAAAGAGAACAUGGUGUGUUGUGAUUUCAUUAAUAUAAAGAUGUUUUCUUGUGACUCUGAUGAGUAAUGUGGGGGCUAGAGAAUCCUGAGCUGAUUUUACAGAUGGUGCUUUUGCCAAAUUAUACUUUGUACCGGGACUCUAAUUACAGGCUCCAUGUGAUACUGAUUUGCUUGAAAAUGUGUGUUUUGAACCCAUGUUUAAAAGGUAUGGUGGUUUUGCCAUAUUCUUGCAAAGAAUGCAAAGGACAAAUGUGCUCCUAUGCGCUGCUUUUGUCUGGUUUCUCACCACUAUUAACUUUUUCUUUUUUCCUUUGUUUUUUUUCCAAAAAUAAAAGGGAUGGAAGGUUGGAGUAUUGAAUUUGAAUUCAGCUAAAUGUAUUCUUUAAUGAGUGAAAUUGCUAGAUUUUCUUUCUUUCGUUUUUGUUUUGAAAAUAUUGAGUUUCACUGGUAUGAACGGUCAGUAAUUACUAGUGCUUGAAUAAUGGAGAGACAGAGAGCGCGAGUGAAGGUGCCAGUGUUUUUAAGUGAGCAGUGUUGGAUUUAAAUCGAAUUUAAUUAAUUUAAAAUUUUAAUUUAAUUUUUUAUUUAUUUUAAUUUGAUUUGAUUGGAUUUAAUUUUUAAUUUUAAAAAUUUUAAUUAUUUCUGUUUGAUUUAAUUUUAAUAAAAAAAUUAAAAAAAUUAAAUCUAAUUUAUUAAUAAUAAUAAUAUUUUUUUAAUAAUAUAAAUAGAUUAUAUUAAAAUUAAAAUAUUUCAAUUAAAUUUUAAAAUAGGUAAAAAAUAAAAUAUUUAUUAAAAAUUUAAAUUGAUAAAAUCGAAUCAAAUUGAAUUGAAUCAAAUUGAUUUGAUUCAAUUUAAUUUCUAACUAAAAUUAAUUCAAUUUAAUUUUCAUAAAUAUCAAAAUUUUAAUUUUUGAUUUUAAACCGGGCUCACUCAAAAUCAUGGUACAUGAUCCGGUAAUCCUAUUGGGAGUCACUUAUGACAUGCUGGCAUUAAAGAUGCUUUAAUAUUAGGGGGAAUUCAGAAUUCGAAAUUUUUUUUAAAAAAAAUAAGAGCUGAGCAUAUACUCAUAUAUAUAUAUAUAUAUAUAUAUAUGAAUACUUUUAUUUGGGCCAAACCCGCCUCUAAUGGUGGUGCUUGCCAAGCAGGCACUCCAUGAAAACCCACUUUGUUUUGCAGGGAACAUUGGGCGUGUCAUCCGCAGCAUGAAAUGAACUACUCAAUGAAGUUCGCAUUAUUUCAAGCAAUAAACAACUACAUUACACUGUGAAGAAAGAAAAGUAGCACUAUGGCCAAAAGAGGCUUAGGCUUAUCUGAUCUCUCCACUCCACGUAUCCCAUCUCUACAUAUUGCAUAAAGUCUGAUAGCUCAAAAAUCCCUUUUUUGAAUUUUUUUUUUCCCUAGCAACCAAUCCAUUGUCAGUGCUUGCUAUUAUACUGUGUAAAUAACCAUGCACCUUCAGUUUAGAGUUGGGUCCCUUUGCCUCUGAAAUUCUGCUUACUCUUUUUAUGUGGCCUAGAUUCUUGGGUUUUAACCGUAGAAUUCAGAGGGCUUUUUUACUUUUCUUUUCUUUUCCUUUUUGCCCAUGCCAUUUUAAUUGGACAAACCAAGAAUUUGAACAUAAUCGUUUCCCCCUUUCUGGUAUGUAAGCGUACAGAGAAGAAAUUACGUAGCGUUUCUGUCAUGUAAAUCUCUUUCCCUAUUGAAGUGCGUUAAAGCCAAAAUAAUUUUUUUAGUUUAAAUAGCAUUGGCCUGAAGACUACAUUUUCAGAGAUCAUCAUUAUAGAUUUUCUUUUUCUUUUUUUCAUCCGUUUCAAAUUAUAAUUCAUUUUCAUUUUUAAAUAAAUAUAAAAAUAUUUUUAUUAAUUUCAAAAUUAAUUUAUUAAUAUGAAUUACUUAAAUUUUUAAUGAAAUAAUAUAAAUGGAGGGUAUAUUAGUAUAUCAUACAAAAUUUAUUGCUUUUAUCCUUGUUAACUGCUUUUUCUUAAAUUAAGUGAAAAUAUAAGUAGUCCUACUAAAUUAGCCAGUUGAGUUAAUUAAUAUAUUAAAGCAAUACAUUUUUAAUUAAUACUAAUUUUUAUUCAUAUUUCUUUUUUUUUAUCCUAAAAUUAUUGUUCACUUUUCUUUUUAUACUAUAAUAAUAUAUAAAUUGACUAUUGAUGAACUGAGAUUCAGUAGGGUUAUUAGAUGUGAAUACCUAGAUUGUGAUUUGAUUCAAUGGGCAGAUCAAUGAACUGUGUGAUUGAUUUGAUGAAGAGUGAAUGCCUUUAAAAUUUUAUAUGGGUCUCUCCAUUCUUGAUCUUGAGAAAGGGGUCUACAAAAUAUGGGAAAAUAGUCAAGGGUCUACCGGAGAUUCCUGGUGAAGACCUUUCGACGUUCAAAUCAUAUUUAAAAAUUUUAGAGUGAUGCCUUAAUUUAAAGAGAUGCAAAGAGAAGUAAAAAUAGAGAAGAAAAGAGAGAAAGGAAGCUUCAGAGAAAAAAGAGAGAGGAUGUGUAAAAGAGUAAGUGUGAUCGUGUGUGUGAGAGAGUUGGAGAAUCCAAGAGAAAAAGCCCUCUUUUUGGAUUAGAUCAAUGGUAUAUAUACCUCUAAUUGUUCUGACAUCUCUUGUAUCAUAUCCCAUCGGAUUGGACAUGGAUAUCCUUUUGCAGGUGUGUUGGAUGACUUAUUAAUGAUGGGCGAUUGGAUAAUAAAUGCGGAGCUGGCUAGUUCAUAUCAUGUCUAUUAUGUGUAUCAUGUCAAUGUAUUUUCUGCAAACGUAUUUUAUGACUCCAGUGAUGUAUUGAAAAUACAACCAAUAUGUAGGAGGUCGACAUCUUAUCCUAGUCUUAUCAGAUCGUACUCGGCUCACCCGAUCUGUAUUGAGGUGGAUUCCCCCUAGUCACUUAUGAUUGGUCGCGUUUGCAUCCAAUACCGAGUCUUAAAUAAGUCUGCCUGUCUAUUUUGAGCUUUGACUGAGUCAGGAGUGUUGCUAUGAUCUUUAUAACUUAUAGGUCGGGCUUUUUGCUACACGGUCGGACCAGACGGCGAGGUUCAUGGAACCCUUCUUAAUCUCAUGUACACGUGUCAUAAUCUUAAUGGACCUGUUAUUUAUAUGUUAUCAGAUGCCAUUUUGCUUCUCCGAAGAUUAUUUAUGAUAGUUGGAGAAGCGAAUUUAAACUUAUGGAGCCGUUAUGAACGGUUUACGACGCAUUUCCCUUCAGGAAACACGCCCUUAUCAUCAUCAAUUGUCGAACAGGUGCCAUCAAAUGAAGGCAAUGAUUAUCGGGGGUUUUCGAAGAAUCUCCACCCGAGAUCGUUUUGGAAAUUUGAAAUUUGAAUUCUACGGUCUAUAAAAGCCUUCUUCUGAAUGCUUUAGUAUGCUUUGGUGUUUUGAACUUUGCCUUUCUGAUUUGAAAUCUCCUCUUUCUUCAUUUUCUUUAUUGGGUUUUUCUGCUAUAGGUACGUCUCCUUCUGCCAUGGCUUCUAUUGAGUUUCCUCUAGUCGAGAGGCUCCCUUCUAACGUUACCUCUAGUAACCUUCAUCAGGCUAUUCCUAAGAAGGUUUUAUCCACUCAUUAUUAUAUUUGAACUCCUCAUUCUACUGAGCGAAUUGUGCU
rnacentral:lncRNA from 1 species